rnacentral:lncRNA from 1 species
UGGGGAAAAACACAUGAACUAGACUCUAGCAAGGCCUAACCAGCAACAAGACAUCGACUAGGACACAAACUCAACACUGCAGACUCUAAGACUGAAAUAUGCAAAGGCUAUGGCUUGAAAGGUUUGUAGGACAGGAAAACGAUAUGACACUGGACUUAUAGGACGAACACAAGAACACUCAAAACUAAGGAUAGAUGUGAAUCUAACGGUAUACCUAAAGCUUUGAUUACCACUUGAUGAGAACAAGGGUGGCCUGAUCUUCCGAAAGGUUCUAGUAACUCUCGAUUUGGUGGAGACGAGACACAAAUCGAUUUGGCUUUCGAACAACACGAUCCGAAACCCUGCAUUUUUUUAUUUUUUUUAUAUUUUUCUUUUACCUAGGAGCACUAAAAAGUAACCACAAAAAAUUUGUGCUUAAACAAGUGAAAGACGUGGCCUGCAGAAUUUUCUAAAGAUUGCGAAAAAUGUGAAAAAAACUUCAUGAGGAGAAAACUCAAACUUUGGAGGCAAAUUUCAAGAUAAAAUUAUCAAACCCGCUAAAGUCACAGACAGACAGAUCUGAAAUUUUUUUAUGAUCGAAUUUGAUAUAGGUAACGUUGAAAUCAGAGUUUGUAUGUGAAAGUUAUGGUUUGUUUACAAAUGCACUUCGAAAUACAGGAAAAAACGGUCCAGAAGUGGGAAAAAUUUGCGGCGCUGGCUAGAAAUUGAUGGAAACGGUGGGGAAAACACACGAACUGGACUCUAACAAGACCUAACCAGCAACAAGACCUCGACCAGGACACAAACUCAACACUGCGGACUCUGAAACUGAAAUAUGCAAAGGUUAUGGCGCGGAAGGGAUGUAGGACAGGAAAACGAUAUGGCACUGGACUUAUGGGACGAACACAAGAACACUCAAAACUAAGGGUAGACAUGAACCUAACGGUAUACCUGAAGCUUUGAUUACCACUUGAUGAGAACAAGGGUGGCCCGAUCUUUCGAAAGGUUCUGGUAACUCUUGAUUUAGUGGAGACGAGACACAAAUCGAUCCGGCUUCGGAACAACACGAUCCGAAACCCUGCAAUUUUUUUUAUUUUUUUGAUAUUUUAUUUUACUUAGGAGCACUAAAGAAGUAACCACAAAAAAUUUGAGCUUAAACAAGUGAAACACAUGGCCUGCGGAAUUUUCUGAAGAUUGCGAAAAAUAUGAAAAAAACUUCACGAGGUUAAAACUCAAACUUCGGAGGCGAAUUUGGAGAUUCUAAAAUUUUCAAGCCCGCUAGUACUAGGGACAGGCAGAUCCAAAAAUUUUUCUGAUCGAUUUUGAUAUAUAGAACGUUGAAUUCAGAGUUCGUAUGCGAAAGUUGUAGCUGUUUUAUGAACAGACUCCAAAUUAGAGGACAAAAUGGUCCGAAAGUGGGAAAAAUUUGUGGCGGUGGCUAGAAAUUGAUAGAAACGGUGGGAAAAACACACGAACUGGACUCUAACAAGACCUAACCAGCAACAAGACCUCAACUAGGACACAAACUCAACACCGCGGACUCUAAAACUGAAAUAUGCAAAGGCUAUGGCGCGGAAGGGUUGUAGGACAGGAAAACAAUAUGGCACUAUACUUAUGGGACAAACACAAGAACACUCGAAACUAAGAGUAGAUGUGAACCUAACGGUAUACCUAAAGCUUUGAUUACCACUUGAUGAGAAGAAGGGUGGCCCGAUCUUCCGAAAGGUUCUAGUAACUCUCGAUUUGGUGGAGACGAGACACAAAUCGAUCCGGCUUGCGAACAACACGAUCCGAAACCCUGCAAUUUUAUUUUAUUUUUUCGAUAUUUUUCUUUUACUUAGGAGCACUGAAUAAGUAACCAUAGAAAAUUUGAGCUUAAACAAGUGAAAUACGUGGCCUGCGGAAUUUUUUGAAGAUUGCAAAAAAUGUGAAAAAACAUCACGAGGUGAAAACUCAAACUUCGGAGGCAAAUUUAUAGAUUCUAAAAUUUUCAAACCUGCCAAUGGAAGGAACAGACAGAUCAAAAAAAAAUUUUUAGAUCGAUUUUGCUAUAUGGAACGUUGAAAUCGGAGUUCAUAUGUGAAAGUUAUGGUUGUUUUAAUAACGGACUCCGAAUUAGAGGACAAAACGGUGCGAAAGUGGGAAAAAAUUUCGGCAGUGGCUAGAAAUUGAUGGAAACGGUGGGGAAAAACACACGAACUGGACUCUAACAAGACCUAACCAGCAACAAGACAUCGACUAGGACACAAACUCAACACUGCGGACUCUAAGACUAAAAUAUGCAAAGGCUAUGGCUUGAAAGGUUUGUAGGACAGGAAAACGAUAUGACACUGGACUUAUGGGACGAACACAAGAACACUCAAAACUAAGGAUAGAUGUGAAUCUAACGAUAUACCUAAAGCUUUGAUUACCACUUGAUGAGAACAAGGGUGGCCUGAUCUUCCGAAAGGUUCUAGUAACUCUCGAUUUGGUGGAGACGAGACACAAAUCGAUUUGGCUUUCGAACAACCCGAUCCGAAACCCUGCAUUUUUUUUAUUUUUUUUAUAUUUUUCUUUUACCUAGGAGCACUAAAAAGUAACCACAAAAAAUUUGUGCUUAAACAAGUGAAAGACGUGGCCUGCAGAAUUUUCUGAAGAUUGCGAAAAAUGUGAAAAAACUUCAUGAGGAGAAAACUCAAACUUUGGAGGCAAAUUUUAAGAUAAAAUUAUCGAACCCGCUAAAGUCACAUACAGACAGAUCUGAAAUUUUUUUAUGAUCGAAUUUGAUAUAGGUAACGUUGAAAUCAGAGUUUGUAUGUGAAAGUUAUGGUUUGUUUACAAAUGCACUCCGAAAUAGAGGAAAAACGGUCCAGAAGUGGGAAAAAUUUGCGGCGCUGGCUAGAAAUUGAUGAAAAUAGUGGGGAAAAACACACGAACAGGACUCUAACAAGACCCAACCAGCAACAAGACCUCGACCAGGACACAAACUCAACACUGCGGACUCUGAAACUGAAAUAUGCAAAAGCUACGGCGCGGAAGGGAUGUAGGACAAGAAAACGAUAUGGCACUAGACUUAUGGGACGAACACAAGAACACUCGAAACUAAGGGUAGAUGUGAACCUAACGGUAUACCUGAAGCUUUGAUUACCACUUGAUGAGAACAAGGGUGGCCCGAUCUUCCGAAAGGUUCUGGUAACUCUCGAUUUAGUGGAGACGAGACACAAAUCGAUCCGGCUUCAGAACAACACGAUCCAAAACCCUACAAUUUUUUUUAUUUUUUUUGAUAUUUUAUUUUACUUAGGAGCACUAAAGAAGUAACCACGGAAAAUUUGAGCUUAAACAAGUGAAAGACAUGGCCUGCGGAAUUUUCUGAAGAUUGCGAAAAAUGUGAAAAAAACUUCACGAGGUUAAAACUCAAACUUCGGAGGCGAAUUUGGAGAUUCUAAAAUUUUCAAGCCCGCUAGUACUAGGGACAGGCAGAUCCAAAAAUUUUUCUGAUCGAUUUUGAUAUAUAGAACGUUGAAAUCAGAGUUCGUUGCGAAAGUUGUGGCUGUUUUAUGAACAGACUCCAAAUUAGAGGACAAAACGGUCUGAAAGUGGGAAAAAAUUGUGGCGGUGGCUAGAAAUUGAUGGAAACGGUGGGAAAAAACACACGAACUAGACUCUAACAAGACCUAACCAGCAACAAGACCUCAACUAGGACACAAACUCAACACCGCGGACUCUGAAACUGAAAUAUGAAAAGGCUAUGGCACGGAAGGGUUGUAGAACAGGAAAACAAUAUGGCACUAUACUUAUGGGACAAACACAAGAACACUCAAAACUAAGAGUAGAUGUGAACCUAACGGUAUACCUAAAGCUUUGAUUACCACUUGAUGAGAACAAGGGUGACCCGAUCUUCCGAAAGGUUCUAGUAACUCUCGAUUUGGUGGAGACGAGACACAAAUCGAUUUGGCUUUCGAACAACACGAUCCGAAACCCUGCAUUUUUUUAUUUUUUUUAUAUUUUUCUUUUACCUAGGAGCACUAAAAAGUAACCACAAAAAAUUUGUGCUUAAACAAGUGAAAGACGUGGCCUGCAGAAUUUUCUAAAGAUUGCGAAAAAUGUGAAAAAACUUCAUGAGGAGAAAACUCAAACUUUGGAGGCAAAUUUCAAGAUAAAAUUAUCAAACCCGCUAAAGUCACAGACAGACAGAUCUGAAAUUUUUUUAUGCUCGAAUUUGAUAUAGGUAACGUUGAAAUCAGAGUUUGUAUGUGAAAGUUAUGGUUUGUUUACAAAUGCACUUCGAAAUACAGGAAAAAACGGUCCACAAGUGGGAAAAAUUUGCGGCGCUGGCUAGAAAUUGAUGGAAACGGUGGGGAAAACACACGAACUGGACUCUAACAAGACCUAACCAGCAACAAGACCUCGACCAGGACACAAACUCAACACUGCGGACUCUGAAACUGAAAUAUGCAAAGGUUAUGGCGCGGAAGGGAUGUAGGACAAGAAAACGAUAUGGCACUGGACUUAUGGGACGAACACAAGAACACUCAAAACUAAGGGUAGACGUGAACCUAACGGUAUACCUGAAGCUUUGAUUACCACUUGAUGAGAACAAGGGUGGCCCGAUCUUUCGAAAGGUUCUGGUAACUCUCGAUUUAGUGGAGACGAGAUACAAAUCGAUCCGGCUUCGGAACAACACGAUCCGAAACCCUGCAAUUUUUUUUAUUUUUUUGAUAUUUUAUUUUACUUAGGAGCACUAAAGAAGUAACCACAAAAAAUUUGAGCUUAAACAAGUGAAAGACAUGGCCUGCGGAAUUUUCUGAAGAUUGCGAAAAAUAUGAAAAAAACUUCACGAGGUUAAAACUCAAACUUCGGAGGCGAAUUUGGAGAUUCUAAAAUUUUCAAGCCCGCUAGUACUAGGGACAGGCAGAUCCAAAAAUUUUUCUGAUCGAUUUUGAUAUAUAGAACGUUGAAUUCAGAGUUCGUAUGCGAAAGUUGUAGCUGUUUUAUGAACAGACUCCAAAUUAGAGGACAAAAUGGUCUGAAAGUGGGAAAAAUUUGUGGCGGUGGCUAGAAAUUGAUAGAAACGGUGGGAAAAACACACGAACUGGACUCUAACAAGACCUAACCAGCAACAAGACCUCAACUAGGACACAAACUCAACACCGCGGACUCUAAAACUGAAAUAUGCAAAGGCUAUGGCGCGGAAGGGUUGUAGGACAGGAAAACAAUAUGGCACUAUACUUAUGGGACAAACACAAGAACACUCGAAACUAAGAGUAGAUGUGAACCUAACGGUAUACCUAAAGCUUUGAUUACCACUUGAUGAGAAGAAGGGUGGCCCGAUCUUCCGAAAGGUUCUAGUAACUCUCGAUUUGGUGGAGACGAGACACAAAUCGAUCCGGCUUGCGAACAACACGAUCCGAAACCCUGCAAUUUUAUUUUAUUUUUUCGAUAUUUUUCUUUUACUUAGGAGCACUGAAUAAGUAACCAUAGAAAAUUUGAGCUUAAACAAGUGAAAUACGUGGCCUGCGGAAUUUUUUGAAGAUUGCAAAAAAUGUGAAAAAACAUCACGAGGUGAAAACUCAAACUUCGGAGGCAAAUUUAGAGAUUCUAAAAUUUUCAAACCUGCCAAUGGAAGGAACAGACAGAUCAAAAAAAAAAAAUUAGAUCGAUUUUGCUAUAUGGAACGUUGAAAUCGGAGUUCAUAUGUGAAAGUUAUGGUUGUUUUAAUAACGGACUCCGAAUUAGAGGACAAAACGGUGCGAAAGUGGGAAAAAAUUUCGGCAGUGGCUAGAAAUUGAUGGAAACGGUGGGGAAAAACACACGAACUGGACUCUAACAAGACCUAACCAGCAACAAGACAUCGACUAGGACACAAACUCAACACUGCGGACUCUAAGACUAAAAUAUGCAAAGGCUAUGGCUUGAAAGGUUUGUAGGACAGGAAAACGAUAUGACACUGGACUUAUGGGACGAACACAAGAACACUCAAAACUAAGGAUAGAUGUGAAUCUAACGAUAUACCUAAAGCUUUGAUUACCACUUGAUGAGAACAAGGGUGGCCUGAUCUUUCGAAAGGUUCUAGUAACUCUCGAUUUGGUGGAGACGAGACACAAAUCGAUUUGGCUUUCGAACAACACGAUAAGAAACCCUGCAUUUUUUUUAUUUUUUUUAUAUUUUUCUUUUACCUAGGAGCACUAAAAAGUAACCAAAAAAAAUUUGUGCUUAAACAAGUGAAAGACGUGGCCUGCAGAAUUUUCUGAAGAUUGCGAAAAAUGUGAAAAAAACUUCAUGAGGAGAAAACUCAAACUUUGGAGGCAAAUUUCAAGAUAAAAUUAUCGAACCCGCUAAAGUCACAGACAGACAGAUCUAAAAUUUUUUUAUGAUCGAAUUUGAUAUAGGUAACGUUGAAAUCAGAGUUUGUAUGUGAAAGUUAUGGUUUGUUUACAAAUGCACUCCGAAAUAGAGGAAAAACGGUCCAGAAGUGGGAAAAAUUUGCGGCGCUGGCUAGAAAUUGAUGAAAAUAGUGGGGAAAAACACACGAACAGGACUCUAACAAGACCCAACCAGCAACAAGACCUCGACCAGGACACAAACUCAACACUGCGGACUCUGAAACUGAAAUAUGCAAAGGCUACGGCGCGGAAGGGAUGUAGGACAAGAAAACGAUAUGGCACUAGACUUAUGGGACGAACACAAGAACACUCGAAACUAAGGGUAGAUGUGAACCUAACGGUAUACCUGAAGCUUUGAUUACCACUUGAUGAGAACAAGGGUGGCCCGAUCUUCCGAAAGGUUCUGGUAACUCUCGAUUUAGUGGAGACGAGACACAAAUCGAUCCGGCUUCAGAACAACACGAUCCAAAACCCUACAAUUUUUUUUAUUUUUUUUGAUAUUUUAUUUUACUUAGGAGCACUAAAGAAGUAACCACAGAAAAUUUGAGCUUAAACAAGUGAAAGACAUGGCCUGCGGAAUUUUCUGAAGAUUGCGAAAAAUGUGAAAAAAACUUCACGAGGUUAAAACUCAAACUUCGGAGGCGAAUUUGGAGAUUCUAAAAUUUUCAAGCCCGCUAGUACUAGGGAUAGGCAGAUCGAAAAAAAUUUCUGAUCGAUUUUGAUAUAUAGAACGUUGAAAUCAGAGUUCGUAUGCGAAAGUUGUGGCUGUUUUAUGAACAGACUCCAAAUUAGAGGACAAAACGGUCUGAAAGUGGGAAAAAAUUGUGGCGGUGGCUAGAAAUUGAUGGAAACGGUGGGGAAAAACACACGAACUAGACUCUAACAAGACCUAACCAGCAACAAGACCUCAACUAGGACACAAACUCAACACCGCGGACUCUGAAACUGAAAUAUGAAAAGGCUAUGGCGCGGAAGGGUUGUCGGACAGGAAAACGAUAUGGCACUUGACUUAUGGGACGAACACAAGAACACUCAAAACUAAGUGUAGAUGUGAACCUAAUGGUAUACCUGAAGCUUUGAUUACCACUUGAUGAGAACAAGGGUGGCCUGAUCUUCUGAAAGGUUCUGGUAACUCUCGAUUUGGUGAAGACGAGACACAAAUCGAUCCGGCUUCCGAACAACACGAUCCGAAACCCCGCAUUUUUUUUAUUUUUUUAAUAUUUUCCUUUCACUUAUGAGCACUAAAGAAGUAUCCACAAAAAAUUUGAGCUUAAACAAGUAAAAGACGUGGCCUGUGGAAUUUUCUGAUGAUUACGAAAAAUGUGAAAAAAACUUCACAAGGUGAAAACUCAAACUUCAGAGGCGAAUUUGGAGUUUCUAAUAUAUUAAAACCUGCUACAAGCAGGGACAGACAGAUCCAAAAUUUUGUUCUGAUUGAUUUUGAUAUAUGGAACAUUGAAAUCGAGGUUCGUAUGUGAAAGUUAUUGCUGUUUUACGAACGGACUCCAAAUUAGAGGACAAAACGGUCCGAAAGUGGGAAAAAUUUGCGGCGAUGGCUAGAAAUUGAUGGAAAUUGUCGGUGUUUUCCCCACGGGGGGUCACAUCAACGAGUAAAUUUGUAUGCGUGCUCUCUUUUCCAGAUGGUCAUGCAAGAAGACAUAAAGAUUUAUCCUGGUUCGGGCAAGAGAAGGCCCUACGUCCAGCGGGGGAGGGAAGUUUGUAUUAUCUUGCACCUAAGUGCUUGUACAGGGGCGAAUACAAGUGUGUAUGAACCGGGAUGGAGUAUGGAAACUUCUCUACGUGUGUGCGUUGUGAUACGUGAUGUCUAUCUAUUCUUGGGUCUCCCCUUUUAUAGCUCCAAGGAGAGACCUAGGGCACAUGUAUAGGUGUCAGAGUAGGGGUCGAUAGAGGCAUGGCGCGCUAACCUACUCGGGGCCUCCGUACCGGCGUGGUCUCGAGCCGUCCCGUCUUGGUAGCUUGAUGAUGAUUACGCGUGCCCUUGUAUCCUGCCCUGCGUGCCGUCUUGGGCUGGUUCACCGGUCGCACGACUGUACGGUAUAGCGGCAGAUCCGGCGGAGUGGCUGCGGUGUUGUCAGUCGACGCCCAACUCUUCCCCAGGAAGGAACCAUGCCUGGUCGAGGGUCAGGCGCCGUGCAGUGCCUUGUCGUCCAAAGUGUUGACCUUGGGUGUCUCGAGGGGGUCCCGACUAGACGCUCCAUCCCUGCUUUCCGCGCCCUGGCACGCUCUGAGUCGUUUGGUGGGGAAAGCUGCAAAAAGGAUGAUGGGACGGGUGCCUGUUCCCUAUCACCCUUCCCGUGACCAGCGUGUUAGGUGGGAAAGCGACAGGCGCAUUAAAUGCCCUGGCUCUCAUGCGCGCGUCAGGCGGCGGACAGUGCCCCUGCGCUCGACGCCCCCCGAUUCGCUCGAGCCCUUUUCCGUAUUUGACGGUAGUUAGCGCUCGACCCCUGAGUGGUUCGCUCGACGUCUUUUCCGUCUUCGAGGCUGCGGCCGUCGAUGACCGCAUGACUUAUUAGAGCGUCGAGUUGAGGCCCUCGAUCUGUGCACGGGUAAUCUCGUUAUGGGCAUUAGUUAGGGUACCCCUUACUGAUACCCUCGACAGUAGCCCCCGAGUCUCCAUUCGAGCACUGGCGCUCGAGUGGAGGCUUUAUUUUGCGGUCGAAUUUCCGUGGGGAUGCGCGAGCGACCCCGCGGGGGUAGCCCCCGAGCCCUUGGAGGAGUUUUUUGACUCCUUCAAGGGUUAAAUUGCCUAACUCUCAGAAACGCUAUUGACACCGAUGGUGGAAGGUCCUGAUUGGCUUUUUUUGUGCGGGGGUUUCGACGUACUCUCGAUAGAGCGAGCGUCUUCCACCCCAAAUUGAGUUCCUAGCGGGUAGUCUAAGUGAGAACCUGUGCCCCUUUCGAGGGGGUCAGCUGUAGCCCGGAGGCAUUCUCAUAAAGCAGGGUCGAUGUGGUCGGGGAUACUGAUCUCAUUCGAUAGAGUCCAGCGGCUCGAUGCCUCCCGUCAGGGGGAUUCCACUCGACUGUCUCGACCCUACCUUGGACAUCCCUAGCGAGUCUUCGAGGCGGGCCUCGAUCUUCGACCACUCGCUGGGGAUCCUUGACCCUGGUGCUUGAGAUCGGCUGUCGAACCCUUUUGGUGGGCCAGCCUGCGACCUCUCGAGGCUUUCACGGGUACAUCCCUUGGCUUACAAGGGAAGGAAAGAGCCGUGGGCGGUUUGCCUUUUUGCCCGUUGGGCGCGCCUUUUUAGGUGGGAGGCGUUACGACACUGUGUUGGCGUGGAAUUCGAAGCGACUCACCUGUGAGGAGGGAAAGGAUCGUUAGACGGCGCAUUUAUGGGGGGAGUUACCUCAUUUCUCGGAUCUGCCCGUUGGUGGACUGCUGCAUAUAAAUGUGCCUUGGCGUCGCUGCCGUUCUCCCUUCUGCCACCCGUGUUCGUUCUCGCCUUAGCCCUCUCGUUGCCUUAGUUCUCUUGCUGUCUCACACGCGCGCACACCCCCUCAAGUGGUAGCGGAUCCACCGUCCUUCCUGCCAAGAUGCCUGUGGGACUCGUCGCCGCCGACGACUGGCGCCCGUCGUCGAUGACGGAGCGCCGGUUGCUAUAGCUUGAGAGAGAGGGACUCCUGCAACACCGCACCUCGCUAUCGUCGCCAGAGUGGAUCGCGCCGCCAGCGGACCACAGGGAGGCUCAGCCGCCUGAGGGCUACGUGGUGUCGUUCGCCGAAUUCCACCGCCACGGCCUGGGUGCUCCUCCGAGCCGCUUCAUGCGGGCGCUCUGCCUCCACUAUGGGGUGGAGCUCCAGCACUUCUCCCCGAAUGCCAUCACCGUCGCGGCGGUCUUCGCCGCGGUGUGCGAGGGCUGCCUGGGGAUGAUGCCCCACUAGGAGCUGUGGCUCCACCUCUACAGGGGCGAGAAUUUCAACGCCCCCACCGGAACCACUGGCGUGAGGAAGCCCGUGCGGGCGGGAUGCCUCAAUCUCGUGCAGAAGAUGGGGAAGACGGACAGGCCACGUGAGUACAUCCCAGUGGGGUUGUCGACUAACCACGCCGGCUGGGACUCCCAGUGGUUUUAUCUGCGGAACGACGACAACCUCCUGCCCGCUUACUCCGGUUGCCUGAUCACGGAGCGUCCAGCGGACUGGACAUACGGCGUCGUCCAAGCUCAUCAAUCGCGGCUCAACCCCCUCCUCGACGCCCUGAAGAAGCUUCGCCUGGAGGGCUUGACUGCCGCUCUCGUCCUCUCGGCCGUCCAUCACCGGAGAUUUCUCCCAUUGAUGUCUCGACUGUUGAGGAUGGACGAGAUGGGCCCUGGUGUUUCAUCUCGGGACCUCGAGGCGUGCCGGAUGUCCAACGAGGCUCUGACGAACGACGAAGUCGCGGCCCGGGUCAGGGCCGCAAUUGCCGGUGACUUUUAGCCGGAGCACGUUAACGGUUUCCCCAUGAGGCCUGAUGCGGGCUCGAUCGAUCUGGUAUGCUCUCUUCUCGCGCACAGCUUCGAUUCUGGGUUUCUUUCUUCCCUUUUUCUAGGUCUACCUUUGUUCUGGCAGGGACGGAUUGAUGUCCGGUCCUCGAGGCCUCCAGUAAAGGAGGACGAGGUUGACCGCGAAAAACGGCUCCAGUCCGCCGAGAAACUGAAGUCCGCCAAGGACUCUAAGAAGAAAGGAGAGAAGAAGAGGAAUCUCGACCGCCAAGCGCUAGAUGCGCGUCGAGCUAAAUCCAGGCAGAGGGGGGAGCCUGAGGAAGAAUCCCCCAGCGACGAUGAUGGUGGAGAUGGUGAUGAGGACAACGACGACUCCGAGGGGAUGGCGUCUCGCCUCGAUCGGAUCCUCGAGGGUCCGCCUCGAGGCGACGUCGACGCCCCACGGGUGGAAGCACCAAAGGAAGGACCGGGCGGAUCUCACCGUCCUCGCGCCGACACCCCCCCCUGUGCCCGCGACUGGUCAGGUCGCCCCACGUCCUCCCUCUGCGCCCAGGACGGGUAGCCAUGCUAGGCCUCAGGUGACGGGGCCACUGACUCGCGGUCGCGCCGCGGCCUCCGAGAAAGGAGAGACUGGCCGCAGGAGCGCCAGUCUUGGUGCCCGCCAAGCGGAAGUCGCUGGGCCAAGGCCAGCGCCCGUCCUCGAGGGGCCUGGGACUUUGACGCGGGGUGGCUCGAGGCCCACCGGUCGGGGCACCGGCAGGCGAGCUGUUCUCCCCGUGGGGUAAGCUCUUCGAUGCUGUGACUUAUGUCCUCCUAUUCCUCUGCGUUUCCUCGUAUAUCGGUCUUUUUAUGCUCGUUCCUUUUUUCUCAGAUUGAAGCGGACGCUUGAGCAGGCCCAGCCUUCAAUGGCGAAGAGGCUCAAAGCGGGAGCAGCCUCCAAGGAGCCAGGUUUGUAGCUUACUUUUGGGACUCGUGAUGCUCUUACGCUGGUCAUCAUAGUGACUGGCCUUUGUUUUUUGUUUCACAGGCUCCUCCGACCCUCAGCUGCCGACCGGCAUCGAGAGCGCCCCGCCUUGUCCCGAGUCUACCCCGUCACCGCCGACACGGACCGAGGCGCCCCAGACCCAAGGGCAAGAGGGAGCCCCCGAGCCUCCCCGAUCGGGGGUCCAGGGGGAUCCCAUUACCAUCAGUGACACGUCUGGCGGCAACGAGACGACGAGGGAUGUCCACCCUAUGGAGGAGGAGGCGUCGACCUGCCUCGUCGCGGGACGGACUCCCUGGCCUGCUGGUCUUCGCGCCCUCGAGGAGCAGAAUAAAAAGGAGGAGGAGGAGGAGGAGCAGGAGCGCGAGGCAAGGCGGCAGCCGUAGGAGUAGGGCCGCCGACAAGAGUCGCUAGAGCUUGAGGAGCAACAGCAGCAGCGGCAGCAACAGCAGCAACAGCAGCAGCAGCAUGAGGAGCAACAGCAGCAACAGCAGCAGCAGCCGUAGCAGCAACAGCAGCAGCGACCGCUCGAGCCCCAUCCUCAUAGUCUGCCCCAACCUGUACCACCGGCGCCGCAAGAACCCGCAGACCAGGAGGAGGAUUUGCCGGUUUUUGGUCCUCCGACCCCGGUGUGGCUCCGCCCUAGGGCGCCCGCCGCGAUCCCGGCAGAGCGGGGGCGAGCGGAUGGUGUGGGAGCGCUUGCCUGCAUGAUGCGUACCCCCGCCGACCCCGAGUCCAAGAUCAGGAGGACGAUCUACGGCAUGGACGGGAUCGCCCCAGGGUUCCUCCGAGAGCGCCGGGCGUGGGAGGACCGCAUCCCUGCCGAGGAGGAUGAGAUCGGGAAGUCGGGUAGCCAAGACGGUACCUGGAAGAUGGUGGACGACGACGGGCGGUUCCCUUCCCUCGUCGACUUGUUCCUGCGCCAUGGGGGAUCCCUCGAGGCCGUCGAGGACCUUAUUCGUAGCGUCAAGGCGUGGGCCGACCGGGAGAUGGAGAACUGGUGCCCCGAUCGGAUCCGCAUCCGGGCUUCCACCGACCCGUCCGAGCCCAACAUCUUCAUGGACGAUAGGAAGGAGGCGGAGAAAUGGGAACACAUCGAGGAGCUCCGCCUUUGGAUGAAGCAUGUGGUGGGGCUCCUGUCGAACAUCAUCAACAACGGGCUCGGGCCGGCCUACUUCGUAAGUAUUUUUUGGUCCCUAAUCCUCAUAGAUCUGUCGGUUUUGUUUUCUAACCGUUUGACCACCGGUUUGCAGGACAUGAAAGAGACCUCCUGCAUCAAGUCAAGCUUCAUUCACACCACAAGAGGCGGCUGGGAGCAGCUCCCCGUCCUCAAGGACCAACUCCUCGAGUCGCAGGAAAAACUCCUUAAGGCUUAUAAAGACCUCAUAGCGCUCGAGGAGGAGAAGAAGACGAGGGAGGCUGCCUUGGCCGAGGCUCGAGAGGCCUCAAGGAAGGCGGUGGAGGAGACGACGCUACUGCGGGAGCGGGCUCUGACAGUCGAGGAGGCCGCGUCCAAAGCCCGGGAGGAGGCCCUGUCCUAUAAGAACAUCAUCAUUACUGACUUGGACAAGGAGAAGGGCCUUCUCAAGACCGACUUGGAAUCCCUCCGAGACUCCUUUCAAAGGAUGAAGGUGGCAUACGUGGACAGUGAGGUCGCCAGGGGGGCCAUGGAGGAAGCGAAGAAGAAGACCCUCGAAGACCUCGAGGCGGAGCGGGCUCGAUCCCGCAGCCUCUCUGAGGACGUCGACCGUCUAAAGGGGGAGCUGCUAGAGAAGAGUGGAGCUAUUGCACAGGCUGGCAAGGCGAUCGAGGAUCUUCGGGUCACCAACACUGAGCUGGCACGCUCCAACAGAGAGAUCGAGAUGGCCAAUACUAAAUUGGUUGGCGAGAACACGGCCCUGGAGGAGAGCAUCCGUGGUACAUUUCUAUUGUCGGAUUUCCUUUUCGAGGUUUGCUUGGUUUUUUCUAAAGUUUUUGCAUUGACGUUCACAGGGCUUAAGGACGAACUCUUGGCCACCCAAGUCGGGGCCUGCAAUGCUAAGUCCCAGCUCGAGGCGGAGGUUGCUUUGAACCAUCGAGUGCGGACGGUGAUAAGCGAUCUCUCGGCCUCUUGGGAGAUCGAGCCCAUGGACGAGUCGAGGGAGGACGCUCGAGGUGACGCACUGGUCGACCAGCUGUGCUACUUAGGCGCGACGCUGAGAUAUCGGGUGCGGGAUGCUCUCCACAUCGGGGUGAAGCGGGCGAUGGCAGUUGUCUGCUCAGGCUUCUCCUACGACAUGGAGGUGGUGUCCCACGGCUUCGUCACCGACAUCUCCAAGACCGACGCGGAGAACGAAGAAAGGCUCCACGCCUUGAUUGACGACGCGGAGGUUCCUGGAGAGAGGCUGGCCAAGCUAUUUGAGCCUGAGGUGCUUCCCCCUGAGACUAGCUCGGGCGCAGGCGAGGGUGGUGAGGACCGUGCUGUGGACUAAGGCCUGCGAGCCUGCUCAGGGUGCCUGGGGCCCCUUGUAUAGUACUUUGUUAAUCCUAUUUUCAAGUGAUACAGUAUCUUUAAGUGGUUGUUAUAUGUCUGUCUGUCUUUUCUCUCGAGGCUUCUUUUUAUUCCUUUUUGCGCCUAUGUUUGUUUUUUUCUCACUUGGUCUUUUGUUCGAGGCGGUCUCGAUUGCCUCAAGGGUGAGGAGGCGAGUAGAGUUUCCAUAGCCCGGGGGCGUAGGAGUUCUCAGGCUCGUCGUUUCUCGUCCCUUAAGGGGCUCGAGGUACCUUUACUACUCAACCGUGUGAGAUUACCGAUAGGAAUGAAAGGAUUGCUAGAUUUUUUUCCGGCGCUUGGGGGGGUCGCCCCCCUUGCUAGCCCCCGAGGGAGUGUCGACUAUGAUGGGUCGUAGUCGAUACUCCCUUCUAUCGUUGAGACUUGUGGAAAAGUAAAUCGCUCAAGGGAAAGACUUCAUUUAUUCAUAUAUUCCUUUACAAGGACUUGGUACAAAGCACACGUAGGAACAUAAAGCUUUGAAAUUCUAGGGGUAGAAUCGACGUAGCUGUUCGAUGUUCCAUGCGUUGGUGAAGACCGCCCCCUUUUCGUCCGCUAACUUGUAUGUUCCUGGCUUCAAGACCUCGGCCACCACGUACAGGCCUUCCCAAGGCAGAGUCAACUUGUGGCGUCCUUGAUUGCUUUGCCGUCAUCGCAGGACAAGGUCGCCCACGUUUAAGUCCCUCCUGCGCACGUGCUUGUCGUGGUAGCGUCGAAGCUUCUGCUGGUAUCUAGCAGAGUUGAUGAGGGCCAUGUCUUGAGCUUCUUCGAGUUGGUCGACCGCGUUUUCUUGAGAUUCUUUAUUUGAUUGCUCGUUGUACGCUUUGAGCCGAGGGGACCCAUACUCGAGGUCUGUGGGGAGGACAGCCUCAGAGCCGUAGACCAUGAAGAAUGGGGUGUAUUUCAUGGCCCUGCUUGGCGUCGUCCUUAGGCUCCAUAAGACCGAGGAAAGCUCCUCGACCCACUUCUUGCCAAAUUUCUUCAAGCGAUUGUAGAUCCUCGGUUUGAGCCCCUACAAAAUCAUGCCGUUGGCACGCUCGACCUGGCCGUUAGUUCGAGGAUGGGCCACUGCAGACCAGUUCACACGGAUGUGAUGCUGAUCACAGAAGUCCAAGAACUUUCUGCCCGUGAACUGAGUGCCGUUGUCGGUGAUGAUGACGUUGGGGAUCCCGAAUCGGUGGAUGAUGUCGGUGAAGAAAAGGACGGCUUGUUCGGAGCGGAUGUUGGUGAUGGGUCGAGCCUCGAUCCACUUGGAGAACUUGUUGAUAGCCACCAGCAAGUGGGUGUACCCUCCUUUUGCCUUUUGUAGAGGCCCUACUAAGUCGAGCCCCCAUACUGUGAAUGGCCAUGUGAUGGGGAUCAUCUGAAGAGCGUGGGCAGGCAAAUGCGUCUGUUUGGCGUAGAACUGGCACCCGUGGCAUGAGCGUACGAGCUCGAUGGCAUCGCCUACGGCCGUUGGCCAGUAGAAGCCUUGUCGGAAGGCGUUCCCUACGAGGGUCCGUGGAGCAGCAUGGUGGCCACAAGCCCCCGAGUGUAGGUCCUCGAGGAGUUUCCGGCCUUCUUCCACGGUGAUGCAAUGCUGCAAGACCCCCGUCGGGAUUUGUCGAUAUAGCUCGUUGUCCUCACCAUAGAUCACAUACGACUUGGCCCGUCGAGCGAUACGGCGGGCCUCGGAUCGAUCUUCUGGCAGCUCGCAGCGGAUUAGGCAGUCGAGGAACGGCGUGGGCCAGUCGAACGGUCGACCGAACCGUUGUUCUGCCUCCAUCACCUCAGCUGCCAUCAAUAGUGUGUUGACGGUUUCGGUUUGCUGGGCAGGAGCAGCAUCGACGCCAGCCCCCGAGCCCAAGUCGACGGAUGGCUCGUGAAGAUCUCUUGAGAACGCGUCAGGUGGUACCGUGCCUCGGGUCGACGCGAUCUUGGCGAGUUCAUCGGCUGCCUCGUUGUAGCGUCGGGCGACGUGAACGAGCUCGAGGCCAUGGAAUUUGUCCUUGAGUCGAUGGACUUCCUUGCAGUACGCCUCCAUUUUCGGGUCAUGGCAACUUGAGGUCUUCAUCACUUGGUCAAUGACGAGUUGGGAGUUGCCUCGGACGUCAAAGCGUCGGACUCCUAGCUCGAUGGCGAUCUUGAGACCGUUGACGAGGGCCUUGUACUCUGCGACAUUGUUGGAUGCAGCAAAGUGAAUCCUGAUGAUGUAUCUCAUAUGAACGCCCAAGGGCGAGAUGAACAGCAGGCCAGCCCCAGCUCCCGUCUUCAUGAGUGACCCGUCGAAAUACAUCGUCCAUAACUCCGACUGGACCUGAGUCGGGGGAAGCUGGGAGUCUGUCCACUCCGCGACGAAAUCCAUCAGGGCUUGCGAUUUGAUAGCCUUGCGAGGCGCAUAAGUGAGAGUCUCACUCAUGAGCUUGACUGACCAUUUGGCUAUUCUUCCCGUGGCCUCCUUACUUUGGAUUAUCUCUCCUAGGGGGAAGGACGAGACCACCGUGAUAGGGUGGCCGAGGAAGUAGUGCUGCAGCUUGCGUUGGGCGAGGAUUACGGCAUAGAUCAGCUUCUGGAUUUGGGGGUAACGUGCCUUGGUCUCCGAGAGCACCUCACUGACGAAAUAGACCGGUCUCUGGACUGGCAACGCAUGCCCCUCCUCCUGCCUCUCGACAACCACAGCUCCACUGACGACCUGAGUCGUCGAGGCAACGUAAAGGAGCAGUGGUUCUGCAGGUUGAGGCGGGACCAGGACUGGUGCUGAAGUCAGCGUUUUCUUCAAGUUUUCGAGGGCUUCCUCGGCCUCGGGGGUCCAAGAGAAACGCUCGACCUUCUUCAGGAGUCGAUAUAAUGGUAAUGCCUUUUCUCCUAACCUCGAGAUGAAAUGGCUCAGCGCUGCUAGGCAUCCCAUGACUCUCUGCACACCCUUGAUGUCUCGAAUCGGGCCCAUUCUCGUGCUGGCCGAGACUUUCUCGGGGUUGGCCUCGAUGCCACGCUGGGAAACAAUGUAGCCCAGGAGCAUGCCUCGAGGCACGCCAAAAACGCAUUUCUCGGGAUUGAGCUUGAUCUGGUUGGCGCGUAAGCAGCUGAAAGCGAUCUCGAGAUCCUGGAUCAGGUCACCUUGCCGCUUUGAUUUGACGAUGAUGUCGUCGACAUAGGCCUCGACCGUCGACCCUAUGUGUUUGCCAAACACGUGGAGCAUGCAACGUUGGUACGUAGCUCCCGCGUUUCGAAGCCCAAAUGGCAUGGUUACAUAACAAUACAUCCCAAAAGGUGUGAUAAUAGACGUCGCGAGCUGGUUGGACUCUUUCAUUUUUAUUUGGUGGUAACCGGAAUAUGCAUCAAGGAAAGAAAGGGUUUCACAUCCCGCAGUAGAAUCAACAAUUUGAUCAAUACGUGGUAAAGGAAAAGGAACUUUCGGACAAGCUUUAUUUAAACUCGUGUAAUCGACACACAUCCUCAUUUUCCCAUUCUUUUUCUUAACUAGUACAGGGUUUGCUAACCAGUCGGGAUGAUGAACCUCCUUGAUAAAUCCGGCCGUCAAAAGCUUGUGGAUCUCCUCGCCAAUGAUCUUGCGCUUCUCCUUGUCGAAUCGGCGCAACCGUUGCUUCACUGGCUUGGAACCGGCUCGAAUUUCCAAGGAGUGCUCGGCGACUUCCCUCGGUACGCCUGGCAUGUCCGAGGGACUCCAUGCAAACAUGUCGACGUUUGCACAGAGAAAGUCGACGAGCACAGCUUCCUAUUUGGGGUCGAGGUCGGCACUGAUCGUCAGCACCUUGCCGUCGGAGUUAUUAGGGUCGAGCGGGAUCUUCUUGGUUCGCUCUGCUGGCUCGAAGCUGCCCGCGUAGUGCUUGGGCUCUGGAGCCUCAGCGGCUAGGGCCUCGAGCUUCGCAACGAGCUUGGUGGAGUUCUCGACCGCCUCCCCAUACUCGAUGCACUCGACGUCACACUCGUAAGCGUGCUCGAAGGAGGAGCUGACGGUGAUGACUCCUUCGGGACCGGGCAUCUUUAGCUUCAAGUAGGUGUAGUUGGGUAUAGCCAUGAACUUGGCGUAGCCCGGGCGCCCGAUGAUGGCGUGGUACGUGCCCCGGAACCCGACCACCUCAAAGGUGAGGGUCUCCUUCCUGAAGUUGGCCGCCAUGCCAAAGCAGAUCGGUAAGUCGAUUCGACCCACUGGCAGCGCCUUUUUCCCUGGCACGACGCCAUGGAAACCACCGGCGCUUGGUUGGAGCCGCCACCUGUCGAUACCUAGGAGGUCGAGGGUCUCGAGGUAGAUGAUGUUGAGGCUGCUGCCACCAUCCAUCAACACCUUUGAGAGCCGGGUGUUGACGAUGAUGGGGUCGACGACGAGCGGGUAGACGCCCGGGGCAACCACCUUGUCGGGGUGGUCCUCUCGAUCGAAGGUGAUGGGCGUGCUCGACCAGCUGAGGUACUGGGGUACCGCCAUUCUCGCUGCGAAGACCUCACGACGUUCCCUCUUGCGCUGCCUUGCAGUCAACUGUGUCGAGGGCCCACCAUAGAUCAUGUAGCAGUCGUGGACGGCGGGGAAACCAUCGUCGUCCUUGUUGCCCUCCUUGUCGCCGCCCUUCUCCUUCUUUGGGUCGUCGCGCGCGUCUUUUUUGAAUCCCAGACCGUCGAAAUGCUUUUUCAGCAUGCGACAGUCUUUGAGCUUGUGAUUGGCUCCUCCCUUAUGGUAAGGGCAUGGCUCCUCUAGCAUCUUAUCGAAGAUGCCUCCAUCUGGGGGACCUCGAGGUCUCUUGCGUUCCAUGGCGGCGAUGAGAUUGUCAUCGAAGUCUUGUCGCGAGAACUGUCGCGCUUUCUGCUUCUUCUUGUUUUUCUUGGGCCCUCGACUGGGGGUCCCAUCUUCGUCGGUAGGCUGCUUGCCUUUCCUUCCUUCACAGCUAAAGAAGGCACCGACCGCUUCCUCCCGUGCUGCGUAAUUUGCCACUACGUCCAUCAGCUCAUCGACGGUCUGAGGGCGAUUCCGGCCCAGCUCCCGCACCAAGUCUCGACUGGUGGUACCAGAGACAAAGGCCAGGAUGACAUCAUGGUCGGGUAUAUGUGGCAGCUCGGUGCGCUACUUCGAGAAGCGUCGAGCAUACUCUCGAAGAGUUUCUCCUAACUUCUGCUUGCACUUGCUGAGGUCCCACGAGUUCCCAGGCCGUAUGUAGGUCCCUUUGAAAUUACCCUCGAAGACUCUAACCAAAUCGACCCAGUCGUGGAUCUGAUUAGCUGGAAGUUCCUCGAGCUACCAACGGGCGGUAUCAGAGAGGAAAAGUGGUAGCUGUCUGAUGAUGGCUCGAUCGUCUCCUCGAGCACCUCCCAGCUGACAAGCUAACCUGAAGUCCGCCAGCCAUAGUUCUGGUUUGGUUUCACCAUUGUAUUUUGCGAUGCUGGUUGGGGGUCGGAACGGACUGGGCAGUGGUGUGCUGCGGAUUGCCCUGCUGAACACCCGUGGGCCUGGUGGCUCGAGGGCCAUUUGGUCCUCGUCGCUGUCGUAUCUCCCACCACGAUGUGUGCUGUAACCGCGCUCUUGCGCGUCCCCAUGCCGGUAGCGUCGAUUCUCUUCGAUGUCAUGCCGCGCGUCGUGUCGACGCUGAUUGUCGAUGGGGAGAACGAGCGUGGUCUUUCUUCCUCGAGGGGGUGGCCGUUGAUGGACUGAUACCUCUUUUUCGUUUUGGGGUGGCUCAUCGCGCUUUUCAGUGGCAGCUCCUCGUCGUCGAGAAGCCGAGCUUUCGGCUUGUUGAACUGCCGCCACCUGGAGCAGAGUCUGCACCUCAUCUCGAAUACGUCGAGCUUGGGAAUUUGAUGGCUCUGGCAUGUUGCGCAGCAGCAUUGUUGCCGCCACUACAUUCUGGCCUGCUCGAGGGAAACGGCUGACAGGCUGCUCUGGCUCUGCGUCUCCGACGAUUUGUCGGUGUACCUCUCGAGCGCGUCUGCGGACACUUCCGCCAGGCGGGUAGGGCAAGUCUUGCUCGAGGAUUUGCUCAAGCAGGACGAGGCACUCAUGAUCCUCAUCAAGCUUGGUCUUGAGCUCUCGUAAAUGCACGAGUUGCGCGGCCUUGUCUUCCUGUGGAAGCGGGUCGACCUCCUGCCGCAGGGGCUCGACCGCCGGCAGCCGCAUCUUGCGUCUCGUUGGUAGUUUCUACCGCCCCGUCGAUGUGAUAGCAUUCCCUUGUAGGGUCAUAGCUAUCGGUCUCGGAGUCGGAGUUCGGCUCGGCGGCGUAGUAACAUCCACGUCCUUCCUCCAGCAGCCGCUGCCUGAGCGAGGUGAUCGUGUAUCGUCCAGGGCCUAGGCGGCGGAGGCUUCGUACCCGGGAGAGGUCCGGCGGCUCGGACGUCGGCGGCCGUGCUUCGGAGUCACGUGGAAGGACCAUUGGUCUUUCCACGUAUGUUUGGGCGUCUGGGCAUAUUGCCCUGGCGAGCGACGUCGCGGCGUUGUCCAACCCGAACGGCAAUGCCCUUCCUGGGGUGAACAACCCAUGUGGAAGCAACCUAGCGGUGGAGGAGAGCGCUCGGGGUGCGUUACCUCUUGUCGUCGUAUGGUGUCGGGCCAACAUGCCCGCGGUUUCAGUACGCGGCGCGGCCAGCUCCUGUGCCACCUCCUGCCUAGCACGAACUGCCGGUCGUGACGAGGCAGAGGGAUGACGAUGGUGCUGCCCACGCCUCUUCUUGGGCGGGGAGGCAUUAUGUCGAGGGCGUCUUGGGGCCCUCGUUCGCACUGGCGCAACGCGGGCUCCUCCCGGUCCUCUGAUCGAGAGCAAGACCAUGUCGUAGCCGGAGCCAGUAGACAUGAACUCAAGGCUCCCAAACCAGAUCACCGUGGAGCGCGGAAUCGACGAGGCGAGAGUGGCCAUCUGGAAAGGAGUGGGAAAUCGAUGAAAAACACGCAGGACCCCUACCUGGCGCGCAAACUGUCGGUGUUUUCCCCACGGGGGGUCACACAAACGAGUAAAUUUGUAUGCGUGCUCCCUUUUCCAGAUGGUGAUGCAAGAAGACACAAAGAUUUAUCCUGGUUCGGGUAAGAGAAGGCCCUACGUCCAGCGGGGGAGGGAAGUUUGUAUUAUCUUGCACCUAAGUGCUUGUACAGGGGCGAAUACAAGUCUGUAUGAACCGGGAUCGAGUAUGGAAACUUCUCUACGUGUGUGCGUUGUGAUACGUGAUGUCUGUCUAUUCCUGGGUCUCCCCUUUUAUAGCUCCAAGGAGAGACCUAGGGCACAUGUAUAGGUGUCAGAGUAGGGGUCGAUAGAGGCAUGGCGUGCUGACCUACUCAAGGCCUCCGUACCGGCGUGGUCUCGAGCCGUCCCGUCUUGGUAGCUUGAUGAUGAUUACGCGUGCCCCUCUAUCCUGCCCUGCACGCCGUCUUGGGCUGGUUCACUGGUCGCACGCCUGUACGGUAUAGCGGCAGAUCCGGCGGAGUGGCUGCGGUGUUGUCAGUCGACGCCCAACUCUUCCCCAGGAAGGAACCAUGCUUGGUCGAGGGUCAGGCGUCGUGCAGUGCCUUGUCGUCCAAAGCGUUGACCUUGGGUGUCUCGAGGGGGUCCCGACUAGACGCUCCAUCCCUGCUUUCCGUGCCCUGGCACGCUCUGAGUCGUUUGGUGGGGAAAGCUGCAAAAAGGAUGAUGGGACGGGUGCCUGUUCCCUAUCACGCUUCCCGUGACCAGCGUGUUAGGUGGGAAAGCGACAGGCGCAUUAAAUGCCCUGGCUCUCGUGCGCGUGUCAGACGGCAGACAGUGCCCUUGCGCUCGACGCCACCCGAUUCGCUCGAGCCCUUUUCCGUAUUCGACGGUAGUUAGCGCUCGACCCCUGAGUGGUUCGCUCGACGUCUUUUCCGUCUUUGAGGCUGCGGCCGUCGAUGACCGCACGACUUAUUAGAGCGUCGAGUUGAGGCCCUCGAUCUGUGCACGGGUAAUCUCGUUAUGGGCAUCAGUUAGGGUACCCCUUACUGAUACCCUCGACAGAAAUGGUGGGGAAAAAACACGAGCUGGACUCUAACAAGUCCUAACGAGCAACAAGACCUCGACCAGGACACAAACUCAACAUUGUGGACUCUGAAACUGAAAUAUGCAAAGGCUAUGGCGUGGAAGGGUUGUAGGACAGGAAAACGAUGUGGCGCUGGACUUAUGGGAAGAACACAAGAACCCUCGAAACUAAGGGUAGAUGUGAACCUAACGGUAUACCUGAAGCUUUGAUUACCACUUGAUGAGAACAAGGGUGGCCCGAUCUUCCGAAAGGCUCUGGUAACUCUCGAUUUGAUGAAGAUGAGACACAAAUCGAUACGGCUUCCGAAUAACACGAUCCGAAACCCCACAAAUUUUUUAUUUUUUUGAUAUUUUUAUUUUACUUAGGAGCACUAAAGAAGUAACCACAGAAAAUUUGAGCUUAAACGAGUAAAAGAUGUGGCCUGUGGAAUUUUCUGAAGCUUACAAAAAAUGUGAAAAAAACUUCACAAGGUGAAAACUCAAACUUCGGAGGCGAAUUUGGAGAUUCUAAAAUUUUAAAACCCGCUUCAAGUAGGGACAGACAGAUCUGAAAUUUUGUUCUGAUCGAUUUUGAUAUAUGGAACAUUGAAAUCGCGGUUCGUAUGUGAAAGUUAUGGCUAUUUUAUGAACGGACUCCGAAUUAGAGGACAAAAUGGUCCAAAAGUGGGAAAAAUUUGCGGCGAUGGCUAGAAAUUGAUGGAACGGUGGAGAAAAAACACGAACUGGACUCUAACAAGACCGAACCAGCAACAAGACCUCGACCAGUACACAAACUCAAAACUGCAGACUCUAAAACUGAAAUAUGCAAGGUGUUGACACUUGCUAACACCACUUGAAUACUAGGUUGUCAUCCCCAGCAUGGUACUAGAGUGUACUAUGGUAUUUAUACGAACACAGAUAUAUCCGCUAGUGCACGGAUACCGUUGUAGCUUUUACCGUGUUAAAGGUUUUAUCGUAUCCAUAGGGAAACGGGAGAACCAACUACUCUCUAACUUAACUAAGAUAGAUAGAUAGGUGUAAAUAGGAAAGAUGAUAGAAAUGAAUAAGAAUAAUAUUAAAGGUAAGACAACAAUGGGUGAUAAUAUGGGAAUAGAGAGUAGAGCAAUCUAGAUAUGGACGAUAAUAGGAGAAUAGAUAGGAUAACUAGGGUUUCUCCACUUCAAAGGGGUAUGUCUGUCUAUGGCGUACCAUAAGUAUAAAACAACACAGAGGAUGCUUAUACCUAAGGUCGAGGACUCCUACCAGUCCUUCUAAUGGGAGGUGGACUAUAGAGGACUACGUAGCUGUCACCUACACGGCCUACCACACGAUCCGGCUAACAGGGGAUAUCCACAAGUAAUCUAGGCCUAAGCACCACGCUUACACCUAUACUACAACUCUCACCUAUAGCGUCCUAUAGAUUAAAGUACUCAAAAGAGUUGUGAACCAGAACAUACAUGGAUAGUAAUUGCAUAAUGAAAUAGAAGUAGAUUACCAGAGUCAUCCCAUGAGCAAGCUUGAUUAGAGCUUGAUCAUGGCGAAGUACAAUCGGAGGAAGAACCGAUAGGCCGGCCUCUCCUACAAUCCUCCCUCGCUCUCCAUCUCGCUACUAUCUAGAUCUACUCUAGUUUAGAGAUGAGAGGAGAGCUCUCAUCUCCAAACCCUAUCUUUUGCUCUGUCUAUGAAUAAUGAAUAAGGAUUUAGAGGUCGUCUCCUCCAAGGGCCAGAUGGCUUACUUAUAUAGCCCUUCCAAAUGAACAUGGGCCGUCGGAUCAAACCGACCUUCAUCGCACGGUUUUCCUUGAUCCUCAAAGGCAGUAGAGCAUAAUCCGCGAGGCUCGGCCUGAUUGGCUGCUGAGCCAGGGCAAGCGCCCUAGGGGGGAGGGCGGGCGCCCUGUCCCCGGGCCCGCUCGGCCUCCCGUUCGUUCUCAUGGCUUUUGGACUCUUCUAGAUGAGAGAAAAUUGGCGCACACAUUAAUAUCUCUAUGUAAACCCGACGUGUGGGCCUUUCCUCCAUAUUUCCUGAUAACCCCUUGCCGAAAUAGACAAACACCAAAACUCAUGGAAUUCUGUCAGAUAAAACCCUAAGUCUGGGUGUUGGUUGCAUUUGGAUCCUUUUCUUUAUUUAUUUGAUGAUUAUAUUUGGUACUUAAGGACCGUCAACAACUCCCCCAAGCUUACCUCUUGCUCGUCCCUGACAAAGGAUGGACUCAAGAGUUUCUGCAGUGGUUUCAUGUCUUAAAGGUACACAUGCGUUCAAACAAGAUCUCAUCUCUAGGUCAGGGUAAAUUGUUAAGAUUUAAACUUACUCAUAUUACCUUCCCUCAUGGGGCUUGUAACCGUCACUUGUGUCUUGAGUAGUUAAAGGAUAGAACGGUCAAGUCCAGCGCCAUGUCUCUUGUUUUUGAUCAACUAUAGCUCUAGAGUUUUGGCAGAUUUUCAUAUAAAACUCAGAGAUUCCUUUGUAUGACUCUCUCAGAUCUCUCUUUUGUUGUAUUUCUGGAUACUUACCAAGGCAGUGAUGGUAUAUGCCUUCUCUCAAAGUAUGUAGUAUUUGUGGUAUAAGGCAUAGUGACAUUGCCUUCUCUCUCACCCUACUCUAAUAAGGCUUGAUAUCUGGAGCUCAUAGGUGGGACAUAAAGUAUACAUACUUACAAGACAUUUAGUGCAUAGUCAAACCAUGGAUCGAGAAGAACAGGUCAAUAAGUCAAAUCAAGAUGUGCAUGUGUGGCGAAUGAAUGGUGUAUGGUGAUGAUGGUGAUAAUGGUGAAAACAAUGGUCAAAGUCUAAUUCUACGUUUGCUCUUUUGAGGGGAUAUAUACCUUACUUGCACUUUGAAACUUUUUGAGGGGAAUGAGAUGCUCUAUAUUUUCUUUUUCUUUUCUCUCAGGUGGGUAUCUUGUACCCCUAAUUCUACUAUCGGACACUUGUCCAUUUUUACCUCUCGUCUCACUUUUUCUUUUUUCGAGGUUUCAGGCACUUGCCCCUUUUUAUUUCCUCGUAUUCAUAUUUUUUUUCAGAGCACUCAUCCUCCUAGAAUAAUGUAGCCAGUGGUAGUAACCAAAAUAUCUUGAGCAUUUAUUUCAUGAGGAAUAACAGGGAUAGUAUAAUGUUUUUGGCUAUUCUCUCCUAGAUAGGAGUAGAAUAAUUUUAAGUGAAUCUGGAGAUGGAAAUGUGUGGAUGUAUCUGGAUGCGUACUUCUGGACUAGAAGCAGCAUGUAUGAGUGAGCGUGCAAGUGAAUCUUGAUCUUAACCGUAUGACAACCUCCUAAGGGUCUACACAGCUUGACCACACUCAAUGCUCAUUUGUAGUAAAAAGAUGUAAAUGUAUAGUUCAUAGUCUAGCAAGCAUGUAUGUAUGGCCGUGGUGGGAAUUUAAACUCUCAUCAUAUAGGAACUCAUCAUGCAAUAUUUUAAAGAUUUUUAUAGAUAAAAUUCUCUAGAAUUCUAGCAUCUCUAGGAACAGAUAAACAACAGCUCAACCUUCCCAUAUCAUAUCCAUUAACGAUUUAGACUUUAGAUCAAGUACUCUUUCCACAAGUUCAGGUUUAGAGCAAAUCUUAAUUCAUAACAGUCAUGCCUAAACUUGAGAGAGAUUUCAAUUUUGAGAACUAGUCAUGGUAGAGCAACUAUUCAUCAUUUCCAUGUGAGAGCUUAUCAUGAGGGUUCAUAGCAAACUUUAUUUAUUUAUUUAGUAAACUAAGCAAAGAUAUAUAUAAGCACAAAAUCUUUAUUUGGGUUUUUAUGAUUAUGUAUCUUUUUAUUAUUUGAGUAAAGUAUAAAUACGAGUAGAAACACUCAGGUGGAUAAAUGGGGGUGCUCUCCUCCAAGCUGGAUUUUGACAUAAUUUCUUGUGAUGUAGCUAGCAGGUGACGAGGUGUAUUUGAAUUUCGGCAGCACCCUGACAGCGAUUAGGAUGUCCUCUGUAUGCUAGUUUUCUUGAUCCUUGAAUUCUUACGGCGAGGGUUCAAUGUUUUAAGUCUUUUGAACAAGACUUCUCACCGUGUUCAUUCUUUAGGUGCGUCAUUUGAUUCAGGUGUGGACCUUGAUGUCUGCACCUCUUGAUACGGUGUCACCCAUGUUCUUCGUUUGCCCAGCAGUUCAAAGUGUGGCGUUGGCAGCAUCUUGCUUAGUGUGUUUGUGCUCGUAGAUCCAUGUCCUUCACUUGGUGGAGUCUAGGAGUUGUAAAACUCCUCCAUGUUUUGCUCGAAGUGUACCUGCUCAUAGAGACAAGGCAGAGAUCAAGUGCAUGGGCCCUGUUGGUGGAAAACACCAACAGAACCAAAAGUGUAUUUGUUCUUCUCUAACCUUAAGCAUAGUGAGCAAGACAAAGUUGAUAAGAUCAUGAGUGUAGCAUUUAAAACAUUUUUUUAGAUCAGAUCGCUCAAUCUAGUGGUAAGAUAAUCUAUCUAUAUUUAUGUUUUUUAAUAUAUCUUCCAAAGAUUGAGUGUGCAACAUUUUAGCUCAUAUGAUUAGGAGUGUGGGAUCACAAAGGUGGAAGGACUAAACAUGUUGAAUCGAUUGGGUUGGUUAAUCUAGAGUUGUAAAUCAUACAUGUUUCUCUCUUUUAUUCAUAUGAACGCCAGAACCAAGGAGAAGCUUAUAAAAGUGAUAGUCAAGUACCUCAAGAUGUUACCUUACUUGAAGAGUGAUGGUAUAGUAUCACCUUGUGGAAGCUUUCCUUUCUUAGUGGUUGUGCAUCGUGUUUGUGGCACCCUCCAUGGAUCAUCUCUUAUGAGCUAUGUCUUCCAUGUGUAAAUUGUUAAACUUCAUGUGUCUCUCUCUUUGUCUCUAAUGUGAGUUUAUCUCAAGAAUUCCCAGGUCGAUAUUGAAAGUUUUCCUGCAGGGGUUAGUACAACAAAAUAUCCAAUAUCUACAAUAGCAUACUAUCGGCUCAAAAAUCAACCUAGACACCAUGUCUAAUUUGAUUUAGGAGGGCAUUUUAUCCUAAGCACCAUGCUUAAUUUAAAAUCCCUUGGAAGUAAGAUCAUCAUUCCUAAACUAAGCACCAUGCUUAUUUAAGAGAUAAAUGAAACUACUCCAAACCUAGACAUAUACUAAAGCAAAUAAAGGUAGCAUGAGAGAAUUUAUAGAGAUCUGCUCAAGUGGAGAUGAAGUAGUGUGAUUAGUAUUUAACAAAUUGAGCAUGUCUCAAAGGUAGGGACAACCAACAUAGUAACAUGGCAAAGGAUGUUUUUAUGUAAAGUACUCCCCCAAGCUUGAAUUUUGCAAAAUUCAAGUUUGGAUGAAUUUAAUUCAAUGUUGUAUGAUGAUUGGAUGGACAUAUCUUGUGCUUGUCAUUUAUCCGAUCUUCUUGCUCCAAUCCUGGAAAGGUUAGUGACAAGAAUACCCAAAGGAAUAUUUUUACAAUUAUCCUUAUAUGCUCAAUACACAAGGCAAUAGGGCAAGGUCAUGUUACGAUCUGAUAAGCGCUUAUUUUAGGACACUAAGCUUGUCCUUGGGAAACCAUUAGUUUAUGUUGGCGAAGUGGUUUCCCCUCUGAUACCAACCUUUGUAUAUCAAGAUUAGCUCAACGAGAUCUGCAAUAUUUAUUAUAGACAUAUGCAUUGACAACCGCCCUUUUAAAGUUUUUGUAAAUAGAAAGGAAGAGGGGGUUGGAGAUCUCAAAUGUGGUGAUGUUGGAGAGACCAAUAGAUUGGGAAGAUGUUUCAUAUGAGCAUGGAGUAAACGAAGUGGCUAUGAAAUAAAUUCCAUUGUCAUUAAUGUUAUCUUCGUCUCUAAUCUGAAUGUUUAGAGUUUCUCUUGGAUUGGUCCCGUCUAUGUCCUCUUCUAUAGAUGGAUGAAUCUCAUAUUCAAGGGGAGUUAAAGACUCAACAUCUGAAAUUGAGCCAAGGUCAGAAUCCAUUGAGGCUUCUUCCUUGUCCAUCCAUUCUACACAUUCCAUCCAUUUAGAACUUGUGAUCAGGAAAGAGGGGGUGUUAGAAUUUUUUAUAUGGCUUAGCUCUCCUUCUAUGACAUUACUUGACAUGUCAUCCUCAUGGUCUUUAUGAUUCCUAUGGUUUGAUCGUCUUGAUGGAUUGCUAGGAUCAUCAUGAGACUGAAAAGGAGAGGGAUAAGAAGGGUCUCUAAGGUAAAGGAUGGAUUUAGAAUUUAUGAACAUGGAAGGGGAGCAGAUAGAAUCUUCUAUAUGGUUUAGCUCUCCUUCACUUGAUAUGUCAUCCUCGACUUCUUCAUAACAGGAACCAAAGCAUUCUCUAAGAGAACCAUUAUUGCAAGGAUUUGAAUUAUCCCUGCUUCAAGGUCUCUUAUAGAACCAGAAGUCUAAACCAUCUGCAUCUGAAAGAUUUAAGGUUGGAAUUGCUUCCUCCCUUUGAGAAUUUGGGGGUAUUGAUGGUUUAGGAUCGAUAGCUAAAGUUUGGGAUUGAAGUGGUUGUAAUUUGGCAAUCGAAACUUCUCUUCUGGUCUAGGAACUGAUUCUUUCUCUUUCUCAUGGAUAUAAGUGCUAGGAGACUUUCCGCUCAUUAAAUCAAUCAAAUUCCAAGCUUCACUAGCGGUCAGGCGGUGGAAAGAUCCUCUAGAGGCCGCAUUAAGUGUUUGCUUAUUUUCCCUACUAAGGCCCUUUAAAAAGUGAAUUAGAAGAACUUCUUCUGGAAUAGAAAGAUUUGGGCCAGUGAGAGUAAGGUCAAUAAGGCGGUCCCAUGAUUCGCCAAGAGAUUCUUCUUCUAGUUGUCUAAAAGAAAGAAUCUCGAUCCGAAGAUCCACCACUUUGGAGAUCAGAAAAUAUUUAAAAAGAAAACUAUUGUAUAGCUCCUUCCAAUCUCCAUGAGCACUUCCUAUGUUGAGUUUAUACCAAUAUCUAGCUUUUCCCGUAAUUAAAGAGAACGGAAAGAGCUUCCAUUUAAGGGUCUCAUCGGACAUGCCUUCAAUGCGAAGGAGGUCACAGACUCGAUAAAACUCUCUUAGGUGUGUGUAUGGGUUUUCCUCACCUUCUCCUGAGAAAGGUUGUUUUUGAACAAAUUCUAUGUAUUCCGGGCUUAUCUCAAAACUAGAUGUCAUGAUAGGCUUUGAAGAUUUUGGGGGUUUGAGAUGUGUGCCCGUAGGUCUAUGAAACUGAUCUAUAGACAAGUUUGCAUUCAUGAUAGACCAGAAAUCAAGGAUUAGAUAAGAAGAAAGAAUAGCAGAGAUGAGGCAAAGGAUAAAAGGAAUAUAUAUUAUUUAUAUAUAUUUUUGAAAAAAAAGAUUAAGCUAGUUCGUAGUCAACUCAGCAACCGUCUCCCCGGCAACGGAGCCAAAAAAACUUGUUGACACUUGCUAACACCACUUGAAUACUAGGUUGUCAUCCCUAGUAUGGUACUAGAGUGUACUAUGGUAUUUAUACGCACACAGAUAAAUCCGCAAGCGCAUGGAUACUGUUGUAGCUUUUACUCGGUUUAAGGUUUUAUCGUAUCCACAGGAAAACGGGAGAACCAACUAUGCUCUAACGUGACCAAGAUAGAUAGAUAGGUGUAAAUAGGAAAGAUGGUAGAAUUGAAUAAGAAUAAUAUUAAAGGUAAGAUAACAAUGGGUGAUAAUAUGGGAAUAGAGAGUAGAGCAAUCUUGUAUAUGGACGAUAAUAGGAGAAUAGAGAGGAUAACUAGGGUUUCUCCACUUCAAAGGGGUAUGUCUGUCUGUGGCGUACCAUAAGUAUAAAACAACACAGAGGAUGCUUAUACCUAAGGUCGAGGACUCCUACGAGUCCUGCUAAUGGGAGAUGGACUACAGAGGACUACGUAGCUGUCACCUACGCGGCCUACCACAUGAUCCGGCUAACAGGGGAUAUCCACAAGUAAUCUAGGCCUAAGCACCACGCUUACACCUAUACUACAACUCUCACCUAUAGCGUCCUAUAGAUUAAAGUACUCAAAAGAGUUGUGAACCAGAACAUACAUGGAUAGUAAUUGCAUAAUGAAAUAAAAGUAGAUUACCAGAGUCAUCCCAUAACCAAGCUUGAUUAGAGCUUGAUCAUGGCGAAGUACAACCGGAGGAAGAACCGAUAGGCCAGCCUCUCCUCCAAUCCUCCCUCGCUCUCCAUCUCGCUACUAUCUAGAUCUACUCUAGUUUAGAGAUGAGAGGAGAGCUCUCAUCUCCAAACCCUAGCUUUUGCUCUAUCUAUGAAUAAUGAAUAAGGAUUUAGAGGUCGUCUCCUCCAGGGGCCAGGGGGGCUUGCUUAUAUAGCCCUUCCAAAUGAACAUGGGUCGUCGGAUCAAACCGACCUUAAUCGCACAGUUUUCCUUGAUCCUCAAAGGCAGUGGAGCAUAAUCUGCGAGACUCAGCCUGAUUGGCUACUGAGCCAGGGCAGGCGCCCUAGGGGGGAGGCCGGGUGCCCUGUCCCCGAGCCCGCUCGGCUUCCCGUUCGUUCCAGUGGCUUCUAGAGUCUUCUAGAUGAUAGAAAAUUGCGCAGCACGUUAAUAUCUCUAUGUAAACCCGACAUGUGGGCCUUUCCUCCAUAUUUCCUGAUAACCCCCUGCCGAAAUAGACAAACACCAAAACUCAUGGAAUUCUAUCAGAUAAAACCCUAAGUCUGGGUGUUGGUUGCAUUUGGAUCCUUUUCCUUAUUUAUUUGAUGAUUAUAUUUGGUACUUAAGGACCGUCAACAAAAGGCUAUGGCGCGGAAGGGUUGUAGGACAUGAAAAUGAUAUGGCACUGGACUUAUGGGACGAACACAAGAACACUCGAAACUAAGGGUAGAUGUGAACCUAACGGUAUACCUGAAGCUUUGAUUACCACUUGAUGAGAACAAGGGUGGCCCGAUCUUCUGAAAGGUUCUCGUAACUCUCGAUUUGGUGAAGACGAGACACAAAUCUAUGUGGCUUCCGAACAACACGAUCCGAAACCCCGCAUUUUUUUAUUUUUUUAAUAUUUUUCAUUUACUUAAGAGCACUAAAGAAGUAACCACAGAAAAUUUGAGCUUAAUCAAGUAAAAGACGUGGCCUGCGGAAUUUUGUGAAGAUUACAAAAAAUGUGAAAAAAACUUCACAAGGUGAAAACUCAAAAUUCGAAGACGAAUUUGGAGAUUCUAAAAUUUUCAAACCCCCUAAAACUGAGGACAGACAGACACUAAAUUUUUUUCUGAUCGAUUUUGAUAUAUGGAACAUUGAAAUCGGAGUUUGUAUGUGAAAGUUAUGGCUGUUUUACGAACGGACUCCGAAUUUGAGGACAAAACGGUCCGAAAGUGGGAAAAAGUAGCGUCGAUGGCUAGAAAUUGAUGGAAACGGUGGGGAAAAACACAAACUGGACUCUAACAAGACCUAACCAGCAACAAGACCUCGUCCAGGACACAAACUCAAAACUGCGGACUCAGAAACUGAAAUAUGCAAAGGCUAUGGCGCGGAAGGGUUGUAGGACACAAAAAUGAUAUGGCACUGGACUUAUGGGACAAACACAAGAACACUCGAAACUAAGGGUAGAUGUGAACCUAACGUUAUACCUGAACCUUUGAUUACCACUUGAUGAGAACAAGGGUGGCCCGAUCUUCCAAAAGGUUCUGUUAACUCUCGAUUUCGUGGAGACGAGACACAAAUCGAUCCGGCUUUCGAACAACACGAUCCGAAACCCUGCAAUUUUUUUUAUUUUUUUGAUAUUUUUCUUUUACUUAGGUGCACUAAAGAAGUAACCACAGAAAAUUUGAGCUUAAAUAAGUGAAAGACGUGGCCUGCGGAAUUUUCUAAAUUUUGUGAAAAAAGUGAAAAAAACUUCACGAGGUGAAAACUUAAACUUCGGAGUCGUAUUUCGAAAUUCUAAAAUUUUCAAAACCGCUAGUGGUAGGGACAGGCAGACCCAAAAUUUUUUUCUGAUUGAUUUUGAUAUAUGGAACGUUGAAAUCGGAGUUCGUACGUGAAUUGUAUGGCUAUUUUACGAACGGACUCCGAAUUAGAGAACAAAACGGUCCGAAAGUGGGAAAAAUUUGUGGCGAUGGCUAGAAAUUGAUGGAAACGGUGGGGAAAAACAUACUAACUGGACUCUAACAAGUCCUAACCAGCAACAACCUCGACCAGGACACAAACUCAAAACUGCGGACUCUGAAUCUGAAAUAUGCAAAAGCUUUGGCGCGGAAGGUUGUAGAACAGGAAAACAAUAUGGCACUGGACUUAGACGAACAUAAGAACACUCGAAACUAAGGGUAGAUGUGAACCUAACGGUAUACCUAAAGCUUUGAUUACCACUUGAUGAGAACAAGGGUGGCCCAAUCUUCCGAAAAGUUCUAGUAACUCUCGAUUUGGUGGAGACGAGACACAAAUCCAUACAGCUUCUGAACAACACGAUCCGAAACCCUGCAUUUUUUUAUUUUAUUGAUAUUUUUAUUUUACUUAGGAAUGCUAAAGGAGUAACCAUAGAAAAUUUGAGCUUAAGCAAGUGAAAGACAUGGCCUGUGGAAUUUUCUGAAGAUUGUGAAAAAUGUGAAAAAACUUCACGUAUUGGAAACUCAAACUUCGGAGGCGAAUUUCAGGAUUCUAAAAUUGUCAAACCCGCGAAAGUUAGGGACAAACAGAUUUGAAAUUUUUUUCUGAUCUAUUUUGAUACAUGAAACGUUCAAAUUGGAGUUCGUAUGCAAAGGUUAUCGCUGUUUUACGAACAGACUUCAAAUUUGAGGACAAAACGGUCCGAAAGUGGGAAAAUUUUGCGGCGGUGGCAAGAAAUUGAUGGAAACGGUGGGGAAAAGAUAUGAACUGGACUCUAACAAGACCUAACCAGCAACAAGACCUCGACCAGGACACAAACUCAACACUGCGGACUCUGAAACUGAAAUAUGCAAAGGCUAUGGCGGGGAAGGGUUGUAGGACAGGAAAACGAUAUGGCACUGGACUUAUGGGACGAACACAAGAACACUCAAAACUAACGGUAUACCUGAAGCUUUGAUUACCACUUGAUGAGAACAAGGGUGGCCCGAUCUUCUGAAAGGUUCUCGUAACUCUCAAUUUGGUGAAGACGAGACACAAAUCGAUGUGGCUUCCGAACAACACGAUCCGAAACCCCGCAUUUUUUUAUUUUUUUUAAUAAUUUCCUUUUACUUAGGAGCACUAAAGAAGUAACCACAUAAAAUUUGAGCUUAAUCAAGUAAAAGACGUGGCCUGCAAAAUUUUGUAAAUAUUACAAAAAAUGUGAAAAAAACUUCACAAGGUGAAAACUCAAACUUCGAAGACGAAUUUGGAGAUUCUAAAAUUUUCAAACCCCCUAAAACCGAGGACAGACAGACACUAAAUUUUUUUCUAAUCGAUUUUGAUAUAUGGAACAUUGAAAUCGGAGUUUGUAUGUGAAAGUUAUGGCUGUUUUACGAACGGACUCCGAAUUAGAGGACAAAACGGUCCGAAAGUGGGAAAAAGUUGCGGCGAUGGCUAGAAAUUGAUGGAAACGGUGGGAAAAAAAACACAAACUGGACUCUAACAAGACCUAACCAGCAACAAGACCUCGACCAGACACAAACUCAAAACUGCGGACUCGGAAACUGAAAUAUGCAAAGGCUAUGGCGCGGAAGGGUUGUAGGACAGAAAAAUGAUAUGGCACUGGACUUAUGGUACAAACACAAGAACACUCGAAACUAAGGGUAGAUGUGAACCUAACGGUAUACCUGAAGCUUUGAUUACCACUUGAUGAAAACAAGGGUGGCCCGAUCUUCCGAAAGGUUCUAUUAACUCUCGAUUUGGUGGAGAUGAGACACAAAUCGAUCCGGCUUCCGAACAACACGAUCCGAAACCCUGCAAUUUUUUUUUAUUUUUUUGAUAUUUUUCUUUUACUUAGGUGCACUAAAGAAGUAACCACAGAAAAUUUGAGCUUAAACAAGUGAAAGACGUGGCCUGCGAAAUUUUCUAAAUUUUGUGAAAAAAGUUUAAAAAACUUCACGAGGUGAAAACUUAAACUUCGGAGGCGUAUUUGGAAAUUCUAAAAUUUUCAAACCCGCUAGUGGUAGGGACAGGCAAACCCAAAAAAAUUUUUCUGAUUGAUUUUGAUAUAUGGAACGUUGAAAUCGGAGUUCGUACGCGAAUGUUAUGGCUAUUUUACGAACGGACUCUGAAUUAGAGAACAAAACGGUCCGAAAGUGGGAAAAAUUUGUGGCGAUGGCUAGAAAUUGAUGGAAACGGUGGGGAAAAACAUACUAACUGGUCUCUAACAAGACCUAACCAGCAACAACCUCGACCAGGACACAAACUCAAAACUGCAGACUCUGAAUCUGAAAUAUGCAAAAGCUAUGGCGCGGAAGGGUUGUAGAACAGGAAAACAAUAUGGCACUGGACUUAUGGGACGAACACAAGAACACUCGAAACUAAGGGUAGAUGUGAACCUAACGGUAUACCUAAAGCUUUGAUUACCACUUGAUGAGAACAAGGGUGGCCCGAUCUUCCGAAAAGUUCUGGUAACUCUCGAUUUGGUGGAGACGAGACACAAAUCGAUACAGCUUCUGAAUAACACGAUCCGAAACCCUACAUUUUUUUAUUUUUUUGAAAUUUUUAUUUUACUUAGGAGUGCUAAAGGAGUAACCACAGAAAAUUUGAGCUUAAGCAAGUGACAGACAUGGCCUGUUGAAUUUUCUGAAGAUUGUGAAAAAUGUGAAAAAACUUCACGUAUUGGAAACUCAAACUUCGGAGGCGAAUUUCAGGAUUCUAAAAUUGUCAAACCUGCGAAAGUUAGGGACAAACAGAUUUGAAAUUUUUUCUGAUUUAUUUUGAUAUAUGAAACGUUGAAAUCGGAGUUCGUAUGCGAAGGUUAUGGCUAUUUUACGAACAGACUUCGAAUUAGAGGACAAAACGGUCCGAAAGUGGGAAAAUUUUGCGGCGGUGGCAAGAAAUUGAUGGAAACGGUGGGGAAAAGAUAUGAACUGGACUCUAACAAGACCUAACCAGCAACAAAACCUCGACCAGGACACAAACUCAACACUGCAGACUCUGAAACUGAAAUAUGCAAAGGCUAUGGCGUGGAAGGGUUGUAGGACAGGAAAACGAUAUGGCACUAGACUUAUGGGACGAACACAAGAACACUCAAAACUAACGGUAGAUGUGAACCUAACGGUAUACCUGAAGCUUUGAUUACCACUUGAUGAGAACAAGGGUGGCCCGAUCUUCUGAAAGGUUCUCAUAACUCUCGAUUUGGUGAAGACGAGACACAAAUCGAUCUGGCUUCCAAACAACACAAUCCGAAACCCCGCAUUUUUUUAUUUUUUUAAUAUUUUCCUUUUACUUAGGAGCACUAAAGAAGUAACCACAUAAAAUUUGAGCUUAAUCAAGUAAAAGACGUGGCCUGCGGAAUUUUGUGAAGAUUACAAAAAAUGUGAAAAAAACUUCACAAGGUGAAAACUCAAACUUCGAAGACGAAUUUGGAGAUUCUAAAAUUUUCAAACCCCCCAAAACCGAGGACAGAUAGACACUAAAUUUUUUUCUCAUCGAUUUUGAUAUAUGGAACAUUGAAAUCGGAGUUUGUAUGUGAAAGUUAUGGCUGUUUUACGAACGGACUCCGAAUUAGAGGACAAAACGGUCUGAAAGUGCGAAAAAGGUUCGGCGAUGGCUAGAAAUUUAUGGAAACGGAGGGAAAAAAAUACAAACUGGACUCUAACAAGACCUAACCAGCAACAAGACCUCGACCAGGACACAAACUCAAAACUGCGGACUCGGAAACUGAAAUAUGCAAAGGCUAUGGCGCGGAAGGGUUGUAGGACACAAAAAUGAUAUGGCACUGGACUUAUGGGACAAACACAAGAACACUCGAAACUAAGGGUAGAGGUGAACCUAACGGUAUACCUGAAGCUUUGAUUACCACUUCAUGAGAACAAGGGUGGCCCGAUCUUCCGAAAGGUUCUGUUAACUCUCGAUUUGGUGGAGACGAGACACAAAUCGAUCCGGCUUCCGAACAACACGAUCCGAAACCCUGCAAUUUUUUUUAUUUUUUUGAUAUUUUUCUUUUACUUAGGUGCAUUAAAGAAGUAACCACAGAAAAUAUGAGCUUAAACAAGUGAAAGACGUGGCCUGCGGAAUUUUCUAAAUUUUGUGAAAAUGUGAAAAAAACUUCACGAGGUGAAAACUUAAACUUCGGAGGCGUAUUUGGAAAUUCUAAAAUUUUCAAACCCGCUAGUGGUAGGGACAGGUAGACCCGAAAUUUUUUUCUGAUUGAUUUUGAUAUAUGGAACGUUGAAAUCGGAGUUCGUACGCGAAUGUUAUGCUAUUUUACGAACGGACUCCAAAUUAGAGAACAAAACGGUCCGAAAGUGGGAAAAAUUUGCGGCGAUGGCUAGAAAUUGAUGAAAACGGUGGGGAAAAACAUACUAACUGAACUCUAACAAGACCCAACCAGCAACAACCUCGAUCAGGACACAAACUCAAAACUGCGGACUCUCAAUCUAAAAUAUGUAAAAGCUAUGGCGCGGAAGGGUUGUAGAACAGGAAAACAAUAUGGCACUGGACUUAUGGGACGAACACAAGAACACUAGAAACUAUGAGUAGUUGUGAACCUAGCGGUAUACCUAAAGCUUUGAUUAACACUUGAUGAGAACAAGGGUGGCCCGAUCUUCCGAAAAGUUCUGUUAACUCUCGAUUUGGUGGAGACGAGACACAAAUCGAUACAGCUUCUGAACAACACGAUUCGAAACCCUAUAUUUUUUUAUUUUUUUUGAUAUUUUUAUUUUACUUAGGAGUGCUAAAGGAGUAACCACAGAAAAUUUGAGCUUAAGCAAGUGAAAGACAUGGCCUGUGGAAUUUUCUGAAGAUUGUGAAAAAUAUGAAAAAACUUCACGUAUUAGAAACUCAAACUUCGGAGGCGAAUUUUAGGAUUCUAAAAGUGUCAAACCCGCGAAACUUAGGGACAACCAGAUCUGAAUUUUUUUUCUGAUCGAUUUUGAUAUAUGAAACCUUGAAAUCGGAGUUCGUAUGCGAAAGUUAUGGCUGUUUUACGAGCAGACUUCGAAUUAGAGGACAAAACGGUCCGAAAGUGGAAAAAUUUUGCGCCGGUGGCCAGAAAUUGAUGGAAACGGUGGGGAAAACACAUGAACUGGACUCUAACAAGACCUAACCAGCAACAAGACCUCGACUAGGACACAAACUCAACACUGCGGACUCUGAAACUGAAAUAUGCAAAGGCAAUGGCGCGGAAGGGUUGUAGGACAGGAAAACUAUAUAGCACUGGACUUAUGGAACGAACACAAGAACACUCAAAACUAAGGGUAGAUGUGAACCUAAUGGUAUACAUGAAGCUUUGAUUACCAUUUGAUGAGAACAAGGGUGGCCCAAUCUUCCGAAAAGUUCUAGUAACUCUCGAUUUGGUGGAGACGAGACACAAAUCGAUAUGGCUUCCGAACAACACGAUCCGAAACCCCGCAUUUUUUUUAUUUUUUUAAUAUUUUCCUUUUACUUAGGAGCACUAAAGAAGUAACCACAGAAAAUUUGAACUUAAUCGAGUAAAAGACGUGGCCUGCGGAAUUUUGUGAAGAUUACAAAAAAUGUGAAAAAAACUUCACAAGGUGAAAACUCAAACUUCGAAGACGAAUUUGGAGAUCCUAAAUUUUCAAACCCCCUAAAACCGAGGACAGACAGACACUAUAUUUUUUCUGAUCGAUUUUGAUAUAUGGAACAUUGAAAUCGAAGUUUGUAUGUGAAAGUUAUGGCUGUUUUACGAACGGACUCCGAAUUAGAGGACAAAACGGUCCGAAAGUGGGAAAAUUUUGCGGCGGUGGCAAGAAAUUGAUGGAAACGGUGGGAAAAACACAUGAACUGGACUCUAACAAGACCUAACCAGCAACAAGACCUCGACCAGAACACAAAAUCAACACUGCGGACUCUGAAACUAAAAUAUGCAAAGGUUAUGGCGCGGAAGGGUUGUAGGACAGGAAAACGAUAUGGCACUGGACUUAUGGGACGAACACAAGAACACUCAAAACUAAGGGUAGAUGUGAACCUAACGGUAUACCUGAAGCUUUGAUUACCACUUGAUAAGAACAAGGAUGGCCCGAUCUUCUGAAAGGUUCUGGUAACUCUUGAUUUGGUGGAGACGAGACACAAAUUGAUCCGUCUUCCGAACAACACGAUCCGAAACCCUGCAAUUUUUUUAUUUUUUUGAUAUUUUUCUAUUACUUAGGUGCACUAAAGAAGUAACCAUAGAAAAUUUGAGCUUAAACAAGUGAAAGACGUGGCCUGCAGAAUUUUUUGAAGAUUGCGAAAAAUGUGAAAAAAACAUCACGAGGUGAAAACUCAAAAUUUGGAGGCGAAUUUGGAGAUUAUAAAAUUUUCAAACCUGCCAAUAGCGAGGACAGACAGAUCCGAAAUUCGUUUCUGAUCAAUUUUGAUAUAUGGAACGUUGAAAUCAGAGUUCGUAUGUGAAAGUUAUGGCUCUUUUACGAACGGACUCCGAAUUAGAAGACAAAACGGUCCGGAAGUGGGAAUAAUUUGUGGUGGUGGCUAGAAAUUGAUGGAAAUGGUGGGCAAAAACAUACCAACUAGACUCUAACAAGACCUAACCAGCAACAUCCUCGACCAGGACAUAAACUCAAAAUUGCGGACUCUGAAACUGAAAUAUGCAAAGGCUAUUGCGCGGAAGGGUUGUAGGACAAGAAAACGAUAUGGCACUGGACUUAUGGGACGAAUACAAGAACACUCGAAACUAAGGGUAGAUGUGAACCUAACGGUAUACCUGAAGCUUUAUUACCACUUGAUGAGAUCAAGGGUGGCCCGAUCUUUCGACAGGUUCUGGUAACUCUCGAUUUGGUGGAGACGAGACACAAAUCAAUGCGGCUUCCAAACAACGCGAUCUGAAACCCUGCAAUUCUUUUAUUUUAUUGAUAUUUUUAUUUUACUUAGGAGCAUUAAAGAAGUAACCAUAGAAAAUUUGAGCUUAAACAAGUAAAAGACGUGGCCUGCUGAAUUUUCUGAAGAUUGCGAAAAAUGUGAAAAAAACUUCACAAGGUGAAAACUCAAACUUCGGAGGUGAAUUUGGAGAAUCUAAAACUUUCAAACCCGCAAAUAGCAGUGACAGACAGAUCCGAAUUUUUUUGAUCGAUUUUGAUAUAUCGAACAUUGAAAUCGGAGUUUGUAUGUGCAAGUUAUGGCUGUUUUACGAACGGACUCCGAAUUAGAGGACAAAACGGUCCGAAAGUGGGAAAAACUUGCAGCGAUGGCUAGAAAUUGAUGGAAACGUUGGGGAAAAAACACGAACUGGACUCUAACAAGACCUAACCAGCAACAAGACCUCGACCAGGACACAAACUCAAAACUGCAGACUCGGAAACUGAAAUAUGCAAAGGCUAUGUUAUGAUUUAAUCUUUUUAUUUAAGUGUAAAUUCAUAUCUUUUGGGUAUACUGCUCCAACUGCUGUGAAAAUUUUAUGGUAGGCUCUGAGUGAUAUGAGAAUGCUAUGUUAAAUAUUUCAUGAUUUUUGGAGUACUGUAUCUUUGAUAUGUAAUUUUUAUUUGUGAUAUGGCUUGUUUCCAUAUUUAAAUCAUAAUAAAUGUUUGAUGUAAUUUAUGUUAAUACUAUGGCCUAAAUCCAUGUUUAAAUCAUAUUAAAUGCUACAUGCUUAUGCUGGUAUUCUUCUUUUGUGUCAAGCUUGUUUAUAGUAGUAGUAACAUGUAAAUAAUCUGAAAUCUGUUGUUUGACACUAUUUAAGCCAUGAUUCUUAAUUUAUGAAAUAAGCACCUUGUUACAUGUUAAUUAAAUACCUUAAGUUUGGCAUGUGCAAUUGCUCUGAAACUUUUAUGGUAAUAUCAAUGUGCCUUGCUUGUGCUUCAGUAAUUUUUAUAGAGUUUUCUGAGCACUCUUGCUGGUAUCUUUUAAUUAUGUUCUUUUUAUAGAAUUAAAUUAAUAAAUACCUUUUUAUUGAGUGUUUAGUUGCCAACAUGUGGUUUUCUGGUAAUCUUAGGAUAUGCUUGUGCUUAUGAACCACUUGGUUGGUACUAAAUAUGUUUUUCUAUGUCACCAAAGAAUUAAUUAAAGGUUAUAAAGCUGUUCUGGACAGCAAGGGAGUAAUCUGUUUGUUGUCUAAUGAUAACUUCGCUUUCUGAAAGACUUGUCUAUAGCAAAGACAGUGUAACCUUUGUAUUCUAGCUGCAGUUUAAAUUUGGGGUCAUUUGGCCCAGUAGUUUAAAAGUUAUGGCUUUUCUAAGCUAAGUUCCAAACUAGGUGCUCUCUGUCUUUCUGGAACAAAACCUGGAACUUUGUUUAGUUGACCUAUUUAACUUAUGAAUCUUGUUGUGAUGUCUAAAGAUGAAAUGUAAACAAUUUCAUAAGCUUCCCAGAAUGUCCUCAUUCAUGUUUGUUGGGUCUAUAUAUCUUGAGUUAUGAAAUGUUGUUUGAGCUGCUCUGUUAAUUAGUUGUUGCUGUUAAUGGUAUAAGCUGGUUUGUUCUUGUUAGUUGAGGUGAUACUCUUUUGUGAGCUUAUAAUAGAAGCUUACUCCAUAAAUGAGUGUCCAGUGACGUUUAUAAUCAUGUCACCAAGCAUUCAUCAUCAUCUUGUGUGCACACAUUCCUUACUUAUCGUGCAUGCAAUAGGUGCAUCGGAAGUCGCAGCAUCGUUCGAGCUCGAGAGGGUGAAUCCCGAAGGCCCGGAGGUCACCUAGGAGACGGAGGUGCAGCCAGCAGGACAAGAGGAGCCUGAAGAGGAAGUCGAGAGCCCUAGUCACGAGCCUGCUUCGUUCGUGAAAGGCAAGCCCCGGAGCAUCUUAAGUCUCCCACUUUAAUUUCAAAGCAUACUUGAAUACUCCCUCCGUCCCUGAAAGAAUCAAUUCCUAGGAUCCGUGCCAGUCAAACUUUUUAAAGUUUGACUAACUUUAUAGAAAAGAGUAACAACAUCUAUAAUAUAAAAUACACAUUAUAUGAAAAUAUAUUUUAUGAUGAAUCUAAUAAUAUUAAUUUGAUACUAUAAAUCUUAGCAUUUUUUUCUAGAAAUUUGGUCAAAGUUUAAAAAGUUUGACUUAGGACAACUCUAGAAAUUGAUUCUUUCAGGGACGGAGGGAGUAUGUUAUAUCUAUUGAUGCAUUACGUAUAGGAGUUGUGAUGGAACCCUUGCUGCAUUAUACCUUCCCUUGUCCAGAUAUCUUAUUACUACCUGGUUGUAGAGUUAGGGUCGAGUAGCAACUUAGCCAUGCUUUAAUCAGUAGAAGUCGGGUCAUAUCCUGUCACCUGCGCGAAAUAGGGUCCGUUGUUGGAUCACGAUUGACUAUAUGUGCUAUCAUGGGAAAGAACCUGGUUAAAAUGACUUAAGCCGGGCAGAGUUUUACAUGGUGGUAGUAACUCCGUCUGUGCAGCUAAGGACCGAUCGUUGUACGUCCUCUUGUCAUGUCGAACGCAUGCCUGACACUUAGUUGGCCGGAUAACUCGUUCCGACCGCGAAGCCUAGUAGUAUGACUCAGGCCGGAAGACUGGAAAGUAUAAAGCGCGCACUACCAGAGGAAGUGUGGUGUGCGGGGGGCCAUUGGCGUAAGACCAAGGGCAGGUGAGUUAAAAGUCCUGAUCUUCCUGGCCGAGUGGCAGCCCUGGGAGUGCAGCGCCGAUCAGAGCCAUGAUUCCUGAGUCGUACCAAAGGUGACCCGCUUGCUCUCCGACGGGGGAUGCAUGGGUGAGUGCUAGGAAUAACCCUCCAGCUGGAUAGGAAUCGAUUUGAAUCGCUGUCUCUCCCGGAUAGUGAGAACUUGACAGAGCAGCGGCAAAUGUAGCAUUCACUAAGUACUAAUGGUUCUUAAUGAUGAUGUUGAGGAUAGCUAGAAAGAACAUAUGAUGGAACUUGAUAUGGUUAUUACUGUUUGCUAAUAAUCAAGUGAAGUGCUUAGUCUAGGUGCUAAUAUAGUGGUUGGCUAAUGAUAAUCAAUAUGAUGCUUUUAAGAAUGGUUUACUUUGCAAUCUAAGCUUUUUGGCAAAUUUAUGAGUCAAGCCAGCUACACUUUAUACUCAGCCUUGCAUGAUCCUUGGUGCCAGCUACACUUUAUACAUCCUCGUACUCAGGGUUUAUUCCCACCUAUUGCAGAUGAUGUCUUCUAUGAUGGCUUCUGCAAGACCUGCCUUCAUCCCGCUGGAAAUGAGGACUAAACCGUUGGGCGUGGUUCUCUAACAACUUCGUACCCUGAUGCUUUUGGUGGAUGUGAUGAGACUCUGGCAGUAACAAGAACUUAUGAAAUGUGUGUGUGAAAACUAUGUUGCUUCCGCUACUUCAAACUUGUGUUAUAAUAACUUAAGUAACUCCGAUGUGGUGCCGCUUCGUAGGCAGUGAAUGGACUAUGCAGCAAUCACUGUAUUGUGUUGAACUAUUAUGAUCUUGGUAUGUUGCAAAGUUGGUUUGAACUCCUUCGUGGUUUCGGUUGACUACCGGGAUUAUAUGGGCUCAAGUCUGGAAAGUUGAUUGCUAGUUCGAUCGUUUCUGCACUUGAACUCUUAUAAUUUGGUCGGUUAUGUGACAGUUUGUUGUCAAGAAGGGGAGAAUGAUGAGGACAUGACACCUUCAGAUAUGACCAUUGACUAUAAGAUGAGUUUAUUCCUACAUUUGUGAAAUAGUUUUUGGUAUAAUUCACUUGGUUUCACAUGUACAUGUUAUUUGUUGCAUGUAGGUACGAAUGUGUCUCAAAGUGCAAGGUCAUCAAAGCUGAAUUUUCAAUUCUCUAGUGGCCCGAUAGUGCUUUAUUGGGAAGGCCAUAACUCAUCCCUCCGGAAUGAGAUUGAGGUCAAUAAGCACUUGAUGGACAGCUUGAUUGAUAAGCUUUCAAAUAGAUUUGGUCCCACCUCAAUAAACAUUGACAAGGCCUUCAAAUUGUUAUUAUAUUCUAUUGCUAUUUCUGCCGAGAGCUACUUUAUCAUCAUGGACAUGUUUUUUAUUCUUGGGACCCUGACCCAAGUGGGAGCACAUCCCAAGGAGAAGGAGAAGCCACCAAGGGAGCCCUUGGACGUCCUCCUCCUUGUCCACCACCUUAGAAGGUCACUAAGGUCGUUCAAGCCAAGUCAGAGGCCCAAUCCAUAACUAGUUCGAGUCCAUCUCGCGCUCAACGACCAGUAUAUAGUAAAACAGACGUCCAGGACACAUCCAGACUCCAUUUUUGAUGAUCCACAUAUGGAUGGAAAGAUAAUUUCAUAAGUUAACCAAUGGCUUUGGUUGGAGGCCCAAAUUCAAUCGAGUCAACUAGAAUCAUCAAGACAAGUUGACUCUAGAAUCUGUUAGGGCGCUGCAUCACCGUCUUUUGGGCUAUUGGGCCUUGUAAUGUGUUAGGACACCUUAUGGAUGUGAAGAGGGGUCCUUAGACAUCCCUUUGGCUAUAUAAUAAGUAGCCACCACCUACAUUAGGGUUUGGGUUUUGCUUAGAUUAUUCUAUCAAGAACAGUUUUGCCGUUUUAUCGGUUUGUGAGACCCCAACUCGUGAGAUUAAAUAUUCAUGUGCAAAUUGGUUGCAUUCUUACUUGUUCUUGAUUGUGUUCUUCGAUUCACAGGCAAGGAUUAGCCUUCUUGGCAAGGUCUACCAUGCAGCACUGGUUGAUAACCAUAGAAGACGUGGUGCUAAGGUUGCAGGGUUCGGUUCUUUGUGAUCUAAAGCCGGAUCGGUGUGUCGCUCUCCAAACAAAUGGUAGUUUAUCUUGAACUUAACAGAAGAUCAGGAACCCUAUCCCCAUUACUUUGCGAACCAAACGAGCAAUUGCAAAGUGCAAGCCAUGAUGUCAUAAGCAUAUAAGACCCAAAUUCAGCAACCAAAGUCUCACAAGAAAAGAACUCUCAGAAAUCAUUCAUAUCAAUUGACACAUCCAUAAAUUUGCAACUAACACAAUGGCCCCUGGGGUACAAGUUCAAUAUGAUACCAACUUUUGAGGGUCAAUCUGAUCCAAGAUAAUUCUUGAUGAGCUUUGAAGCUGCAGUAAUAUCUAGAGGAGUAGACAAAACCGCACUUGCAAAAUCACUUGUCAUGGCAGUAAGACGACUAGCCCAACAGUGAUACUCUUCAGUCAAGGCAAAAUCCAUACAAUCAUGGGAUACUCUCAAAGCAAAUUUACUAGUUGAUUUUCAAAGAUUCCAGCUAGCUGGUCUGACAGACAUUGACCUCUUUAAUUGCAAGCAACAAAUUAAAUAGCCUCUAAGCUAAUACUUCAAAAGAUUUGUACAGAAGAAAGCUCGAAUUCCAAACAUUCUAGAUGAAGUACUCAUCAUAACUACAAUCAAAGGACUUUAGGUGGGAUAGUGUGCACCAAACUUGGCCUGAGAAAAAUCAUCCAUAGUGACAAAACUUUAUGAAGUCAUCCAUAAAUAUUGCAAGUCAGAUGAUGAUUAUAGGAAAAGAAUCAAGGAAAAAAAUAACUUCAAAAGUCAGGCGAAGCAAAACAACAAUAGUCUUCACAUUCCAAGCUCAAACAACUUUGAGCGAAGACCCUUUGCUCCACAUAAUCAAGUCAAUCAAAUAGAGAAUGACACCACAGCAUCCAAGAGCAACUUCACAAGCCCAAAUCACUUUAAUCAGCAAAGUCAAUAUCAUGAAAGGACAUUUGAAAGGAGCAGUUUUACACAAAGAGGAAGAGGAAGAGGAAGAACACCUCUCAAACUAGAAGGUAUGUAUUGCAUCAUCCAUGGCAAAGGGUCUGGUCACACAUCGAAGAUGUGCCCCAAAGUGAUGAAAAGCAUAGAAGAAACACAAGAUGAAAAUGGGGCAGCAAGCUGUUAAAAGUUGUGAACAACAUCAUACAGGAAACAUAAAAUCCACAUCAAAAUUAUUUCCCAUUGCAUUAUGGACAUUCUCAGGCAAUGUUGCCAGGACCACUCCCAACUUACAUCUAUGAACCUUUGGCAAUGUACCACCCAAUGCAAAAUUAAUGGAGGCCAAAUCAAGCUCAGCAAUCUAGCAAUCAAACAGCACAACCUGAGGCUUCGGUCGCCAAUAAUAAUCCUCAUCAUACUCAAGCCAAGCAAGAAAAUAGUCCACCAUCAACUUUAGUGAUGAAUAUCAAUGCAAUCAUCCUAGGCAGAUGAAGAAUAUUGACGAUCGCAAGAGGAAAUAGUAUGGAGUAUGAAAGCAACAGUCAAAAAAUAAAUUAUUUUAGAAGGGUUAAUUCAAUCUCAAUGGAAGGUCCAUUCAAAAAAACAAGAUGGUCUCAUUUGCCAAUAACAUUUUUAGAAGAUCUAUAACUAAAGGACUACCCACAUAUGGAUGCAAUGGUGAUUGAAACAAAUAUUGAUUGUUGGUCACUUUCAAAAAUAUUAGUGGAUGGUGGUAGUUCUGCAGACAUCAUAUUCACAUCAACAAUUGACACUAUGAAAAUUGAUCGCAAACUAUUGGGAAGAGUUGAGCAUCCACUUUUUGGCUUUGGUGGAAAACCAAUUCAUUCAAUUGGAAGAAUAGUUUUGCCCAUCUCAUUUGGAACUGUUAACAAUGCAAGAACAGAGCAAAUAGCAUUUGACGUGAUUGAUAUGUACUGUCCAUACAAUGCACUUUUUGGAAGAGGGACUCUGAACGCAUUUGAGGCGGUAGUAAGUUACUUCUACUUAUGCAUGAAGAUGCCAGCAAUAAAUGGAGUAAUCAUAGUCUAUGGUGAUCAAACAGAAACAAAAAAUAUCAAAAAAGAGUAUAUUCCCAGAUGGAAAAUGUACAUGUAAUCUCCAAAGAAGAAGAAAAAGAGAGCAUAGGAAGUGCAAUACAACAAUCAAAAGCCCAAGCUUGCGAAAAGACAAAAAGGGUACCUCUAGACCCUUUGAUCCUAGAAAAACAAGUGAUAAUCAGAAUGGGGCUCACUGUUGACGGUAGAUAAGUACCAGUUUUAUACCAACAAGAAAAUGGAAUAAGGGCAUAAAACAAUCACCAGCAAUUGAAUAGGGUUUCAACUAACAGAUUUCCAUAGGUUUUGGUGAAUGUCUAUUUCUACAGGGGGUUAUCAGGGCCCACAUGUCAUGAUUACAUAGAGAGAAACAAGAUAUCUACGCCAUGUAUGAAGAAGAAGGAUCUAGAAGAGUCGGGAAGCCACCAAAACGAAGGAGAACCAGAGGGCAGGUGGGGCCAUAGCGGCCAAGCAGGGCGCCCGCCCCCUGGUCCAAUCAGAAGCUAGGUCUCGGAUUGUGGGCUAAACCAACUUAGAGGAGCGUGGAUCUUCGUUCAUUAAGGUCCAUUUGAUCUAAGGGCUACGAAUCAUCUCACCGGCCUAUAUAAGGAGGGGUAGACCCUAGAGUUUGGAGGCAUCACAUAUCAUUCUCAUUCAUAUAAUUCAAUCUCUACCCUCAUCUCUCGAAAGCUCCAAGUUUAGAAGCAUAGCUACAUAGAAUAGAUCUAGUUGGAGGCAAGCAUUGCUUGGUUUCUAGAUCCGUCAGAGAGUUUACUCAGUAAUUCUUGUAAUCUUUCUCCUACUUUAUUCUAGUUCGUCAUUGUAUACAUUAUUUCAUCUUAUUAUGAAUGUGACAUUGAUCUAUUCUAUUAUAUUGGAUAUGACUUUGCUCUACUUGCUUAUAUUCUUAGUUAUAUUGUUCUUAGUUUAUUAUGAUUAUAUGCUUGGCAUAGCUAGUUUAGAUUUAUAUUCAAACAUAUGUUCGUAUAGCACUCGCUCAUUGAUAUGAUGGGUGGGUGGUCGACCUUAUGUAGGUGUGGUGCCUAUAUCGUGUUUGCCUAUGUUUGCACCUUAUAUUCUAGGCCAUGUGGUCGAUCACGGGGGUGACAUACCCGUUGAGUCCUCUGUAGUCCACCCUCCGAAUGUAGUUCUUUCUGUAGACACUAAUUACGAGGAGAUGAAUGCUCUGUUCUUGAUUUCCCUUAGUAAUGUCCAUAUGUGUAGAUAUAACCUUGCCUUGCUAUGAUUGCCAAGUAUAAUUGCACUAAUCAUGAUAUGCUUAGACUAUAUAGUUAGAUUAACAUAGGAAAUAUCAUCAUAGAUCAUUCUAAUCCAUGCUAGUGCUACAGACUAGAGUACUCUAGAGAUGCAUUUAUCUUCCUAUGUUUGUUUAUCAUUAUUAUUCAUUAUAUAUAUCUUUAUUAUGUACUUAACCCUGCAUUAAGAUAGAUAGAUAAGACAUGGUUGACCACUUGAGAAUACAUGCAAGUGAUAUCUAUUUCCUUGGCUAUCCUUCCCAUGGGUAAAAUUAUAAAGUACGAUACAUAGAACUUUCCUCGGUCAAAUGCCACGAUGGUAUAUAUCUGUGCGCUUGCGGAUACCCUAUUUUAUAUUCAUCAUUCUUAGAGAGCAUCGCAUAUUUACUACCACCAGUGUAUUUCUAGUGUCAUGCUGGGGAUGAUAACCUAGCCACUGAGGAUAUUGUCUUUAUUCUAUUCUUAGUAAGUGAAGCUUAGAAGUAACAACAAGCAUUUCUAGUGCCGUUGCCGGGGAAGGUUAUGGCUAUUCAAAGGAAUUAGAGACAUCACUUGCAAACCACUCUCAAUUGAGGAACCAUCAUUAUCUCUACUUAUGCAGGCUCACCCUUGUCUUUUGUCUAUUUAUGGAUCUUAUGCAGGGUCAUGUAUGAAUAGGUUUGACCUUCCAGAUAAUUUCAUUGACAAUCCUAAAGCAUAAAUUAAGAGAAACAGAGCUAAGUUAAAGGAUGUAUGAUCAUCACCGUCAUUAUCAUCAUCAUCAUCUAAGUUUGAAGUCUCAAUUAAUUUGGAAGGUCAUUCAAGCGUUGUUUGAAGUUUAACACCAGAGUUUGAAGCGAUGGUUGAAAGAUCACUUCGUGAGUUUUCUGCUCCCACCACUGACAACAUCCACACUAAACCUGUUGUCAAUGUUGGAGAUCAACCAUUUGAGCUCAAGCUAGCGCUAAUCAACAUGGUGCAAGCUAGUUGGUUUUGUGGAAAGACACACGAAGAUGCAAGUGCUCAUCUUUAGAACUUCCUAGAGAUAUGCAACACACUCACAAUCAAAAUAAGGAGUUACAAGAGAUGCCAUACUUCUCUGCCCCUUUCCAUUUUCACUCUUGAGAAGGGCAAAGCUGUGGUUCUACACUAAUAAAGACAAGAAUGUUACAUGAGCGAUUUGUUCCACUAAGUUCCUGGCUAAGUUCUUCCUUGUAGGCAAGACGAAUGCUCUGCGUGGGAAAAUUUCAAGUUUUCAGCAACACAAUGAUGAGACUGUCCUAGAAGCCUGGUAGCGCUUUCAAGAUUACAUCCUAGAAUGUCCUCAUCAUGUGAAGGAGAAUUGGCUCCUUAUGCAAACUUUCUAUCAUAGGCUCUCAAACAACACACAUGAGACCAUGGAUGCCGCUGCUGAAGGAGCAUUCUUAUUACUACUAUUCCUCAAGCCACUGCUCUUGUGGAAAAGAUGGCCUCCAAUCAAAGUUGGAGUGAAGAACAUACUUAGACCGACAAGAGAAGUGGAGGUAUGCACCAGCUCAAGGAAGUAGACAUUCUGAGCGUUAAGAUAGUCCUACCGGUGAAGAGUCUGGAUGAAAGAGCCAGUGAGAAGAAUACAUUCAUGCACAUCCAUGAUGCCCGCUUGACUUGUGAAGAAUGUGGAGAUACUAGGCAUUGAGGCAACUGCUGCCCAACACUCUAGGAGGAUGUGAGCUACCUCAACAACAACUACUACUACAAUUAUCCUCAACAAAAUCAUGGCAGGAAUCAAUAGAGGCCUAACUACUUAGGUAACUAUCAAGGUAAUAAUUUCAAUAAUUUUAGUCAACUACCUUUUGAGAGAGUUAGUUAUGAAUCAAGGAAAAUUAAUGAAUAACCCUUCUAAAAAAUAGCAUCUAGUGAUAAAACUUUAGAAACAAUCAAUGCUAGGAUGGAUAAUUUUGCUACUACAAUCAAGAAUCAACAUGGCUUUAAUAAAAUGAUUGAAUCUUAAAUAUCUCAAUUGAUAACUGUUGUUCCUCCCACUAACCAAGGAAAGAUUCUAGGACAACUGAAAGAAGUAGAAUCUGCAAAUCUUGUCGAUAUAUACAAUGUAGGGAGUUAUUUUAGAGCUACGUCAGCCAGAGAUUGGAAAGACGAGUCCUUGUCUGAAAAGAAAGGUGAUCCUAGAAGGCUGGUUAUCCCUAUCAACAUUGGAGGCAACCACUUCCCGAAAACUCUUUGUGACUUCAGUGUAAGCAUCAACAUCAUUCCCAAGGUUGUAUGAGAAACUUUAUGGAGAUCCAUUAUUAUAUACAACCAUAUGCUUGCAGCUUGGAGACUAGACAUUGUGCUAUCCCAAAGGCAUCCUUAAAGAUGUCUGCAUCUAAGUUGGCGAUUCAUGUCCUGCAGACUUUGUGGUGAUAGAGACUGGUGGAGACGAGAGGGCACCGAUUAUCUUGGGGCGCCCAUUCUUAAACACCGCCAAGGCCAUCAUCUACACCGACAAUGCAAAGAUAUGUUUCAACAUCAACGGAGAAAAGAAAUAUUCACAUUCUAGAAGCGUACACUCAAAGCUCCUGCACAUCCCCAAACACCGUACAACUACCAAAACUAUGAUGGAACUGAGAAGAAAAAGAACAAUCAGAGGAACAAGUACAAGGAACCAAAGGUUGAGACAGUAAGGAUGGCUAGUGUAGUCCACAAAGACCAUGAUUAUCUCCUUGUGUCUCCCCACUUGAUCAAGAAAGAAGAUCCAGGUGCACCAACCAUCGAAUGCACCAUCGAUUGAUGCUCCUUCUAGAAGGUGGUUUGCAACACUAGAGCAUAAGUCAACAUCAUGGCUAAGGUAACUUACGAAUUUCUAUAUGGAAAAAUGCAAUUGCAUUCCACUUUUGUACAGUUGUAGAUGGUGGACCAGACCUACUGAUUCCUAGAUGGGAUUGCCAAGGACAUACCAAUACAAAUUGAUGACCACUUCAUCCCUACUAACUUCCUAGUCUUGAACAACGGAGAAGAAGACCAUGAUCCACUAAUCAUCCUUGGAAGGCUGUUCCUCAACACCACUCGAGCUAUCAUCUAUAUCGGGACAGGAGAAGUUCAUUUCCAAUUCCCAGCUAAGAAGGUACGUCAAUAUUUCACUAACUAUACAGUGAGUGAAGAACCCUAGAAGAACAGAUCAAGGAGGCAUUGUUCUCAAUGACAAAAGAAACAAAUCUUGAAGAAUGGAUGGGCUAACUAUGAAGGAGAGGUGUCUAGAUAGGAAGAUCGAUACCUAGAAGAUAAUGUCAUGGAAGAAGUGAAAAAAGACACCAUUAAAGGCAAAGCCCCCUCAUCAAAGUUUACCUCACCAACCAAACAAGUAUGGGUUCAAAAAGCUAUAAUUAUUUCUGACACACCAGCACAAGAAGAGGCGCAAUUGGAGUCACCGAAGAAGCCAUCAGAGGUGAUUGAAGAAAGCUGAAGAGAAAAGAGAGGUCCUAUUUGGAGGACUCAAAACACUAAACCCUCACCAAAAGGUACAUUUGGCAAUUAUCCAUAUUUCCCUUUUUAGUACCACAUUAAUUUCCCUUAGAGCAUAUUUAAUUUCCUUAUGGUUAUACUCAUUUAUUUGAACACCCCUUUGCAUUAGAAAAAGAAAAUAAAAAUUUAUCAUACAUAGCUUUCCAAAAAUAUUAGGCCCCAUAUGAUGUACUUUGUGGUACACCCCAAAGGCACCCAUUAUGGCGGCAUAAAAAAAUCUCUCUUUGGAAAAAAUGUUAAGCCUCAUGUGAAUAACUUUGUGGCAAUCCAUAAAGAUUACACACCGUGGUGGCACAGAAAUAAAUUUACAGUCAGUCUAGUUACAUUUUUCUUUUUUUGCAUUAUAAAUAUGAAAAUCCAUAAAAAUAUAUAAUCAUUUUAAAACCAAAAAGAAAAGAUCCUAAAGAUUACAUGCUCAAUCAAUUGUGAAGUUCUAGACAUGCAAGGCUUAGAGGUUUAUCACUAACACUUAAUCAAGUUGCACAAGUUUGUUGUCUAUUUGAGCUUCAUAGAAUUUAAAGGGAUCAGACAAGCCUACGACCAGAGGAGGUAUCCUCACUAUCAGUUUGCUAUAGCAAGAGACUAUGCCAACAUCCAGCUUAGGGGAGGGCAUACCCCGUGUACUUAGCUAAGUAUUUCUUCCACCUUUUUAAAUUUGAACUUUAAAUUUUGAAUUUUAGUUUGUUUUGUUUAGAUUAUAAAAAUAAAUAAAAAGAUGGAUAACCAUUAAAACCCAAAUUAAGAUUUCCCUAUAUAUUUUCUAUGUGAUCUUAGAGUUUGCUUAAUAAAUAAAAGGUGAAGAUACAAGGAUUAAUUUGCUUAAACCAAACCAUAGAUUAGACUCGCAUGGAAAUGACGAAUAGUUGCUCUGCCAUAAUACUUUUUGAGUACCUAGUUUUCAACCCCGAAUUCUCCCAAGUUUUGGACACAACUAUUUGGAUUGAAGAUUUACUCUGAGCCUGAAACUUGUGGAUUGCAAUGCUUGAGCUUAAGUUUGGGUAGUUGACUGAUAUGAUAUGGAAAGGUUUUGAGCUGGUAUUUAUCAGGUUCCUAGAGACGCUAGAGUUAUGGAGAAUUUAUCUUUUGAAAACCAUAAAAAUGCUGCAUGAUGAGUUCCUAUAUGACGAGAGCUUGAAUUUCUACCAUAGCCAGAUAUACAUGCCUUGUAGACUAGGAAAACAUUUCACUAUUAUUUACUGCUUAUGAGCAUUGAAUAGAGUCAAGCUUUGUUGACCCUUAGGAACUAGUCAUGUAUUUAAAAUCAAGAUCACUUACACUAUACCCACUUAUGCUGCUUCUACCCUAGAAGUAUGAAUCAACCUCCAUUUUAUUUAGAUCCACACAAAAUUGUUCUACUCUUACACUCGGAGUGAACUCCAAAAAUGUUCCAUUCAUUUUAUCCCUUGCCAUUUAAUAAAGCUCCAAUUGUGCCUUAUCACCACCUUCCAUUGAAUUAUUCAGAAUAGAGAUUUGGGUGCUCUCCAAAAAGAAAGAAAAAAAUAAGAAAAAGGAAAGAGAAGAGGACAAGGUCCCAACAACAAAAAAAGAAAGAAAAGAAAAAGAAAAAAAGAGAAAAUUAGAGCAACCCAAACUCUCUCCAAAACUUCCAAUAAAGGUAGGUGUGUUUUGAAGGAGCAAAGUAGAAUUAGGAUUCCACUAUCACCAUCACCAUACACCCAUUUUGUAUACAUUUGUCGUUAUCCACUACAAUCCAUUCCACUAUAUAUUCCACAAUAUGCCACACACAUGCACAUCUUGAUUUGAUUGUAUGACUUGAUUCUUUGGAUCCAUUGUUUGACUUUACAAUAUAUGUUUACAAGUAUGUAUGUGUUGUCUCCCACCUAUGAGCUUCACAUAAGCCAAUUAGAUGUGGGGUGAGAGAGAGAGGGCAUCUCACUAUUCCUAUGCCAAAAAUACCACAUACAUUGAGAGAAGAGAGAAGGCAGGCAUCAUGAGUGCCUUAGAAAGGAUCCACAAAUCAAACCCUAAUUCAUAUUUUCUAGAGAGAGUUAGACAGAGAGGGGUCCCUCGAAUGGAUCUGUCUCUUUAGGGUGAUAGCAACAAGAGAGAUUGAGAAAGUAUAGGGUGAAGAUAGGAGUUGAGGAAGCCUGGCCUGUCGGUGCCUUCUUCUUCAUAUCUUCGGGGUCAGGUCUCCUAACCCAAGGGCUGGUUCUAGAAUCAUUCGGCAAUUCAACUUCUGAUACUAGUAAGUUAUUGUUCUUAUUGUUCUUUGGUUUACAAGUUUACUUUAUUCACUUUGCGUAGGGAAUAGAGUAAUUAUUCGUAUCGUAAGCAUGGUGCUUGGGCUACAAAUACUCAUAUAUACUCCCUGCUUGGCCAAACAUGUGGUAGCCUUUUGGGGGAAGUGACAAUCCUCUUCGAUCUCAGUAAUCCACAUCUCGUUAGGAGGUAAGGUAGGGUAUAUGGUACUAUGGUUAAGCACUCUCUGAGGUGUCUCUUUUCUCUAGUUACUCCCCUUAGAAUGAUAUCUACACACUUACCAUAGGUUAGAAGAAGACUGAAGAAAAAGUUCUCUCUAUAUCGCUUAAUUCUUGCUAUCUUGUCUUGCAACCCGUGGGUAGUAGUUAAGAUAAAAGGUUAGUCUUUUGCAUGCUUUGUCCUAGUGGUAAAAAAAUAAAUACGAUACUCUGGACUUAUCUCCCGGGUGAAGUGCUCACCGAUAUUCAUGUGCUUGCGGAUUAUUUCUAUUUGAUUCUUUCGUGUGCGUAACUAAUAUCAACAGCCGCCGUCCCCGAACUGGGGCGUUUUCCCCUAAUUUUGGAUCCAUGCAUCAACAACGUCUAUUUCAAAUGCGUGCUCAUCAAUGGCGGCAGCUCCAUUGGCAUCUUGUUUCGUAAUAGUCUCCCUGCCCUCUAGCUAGCUCAAGUAGAUUUGAAGCCAUAUGAGUUCAGUUCUGGGGCAUCCUACCGGGCCAUAGUUCCAUGCCUCUCGGCUAGAUAACGCUCCCUGUCCAGUUUGGUACUCUAGACCACUUCUGCACCGAGUUUGUAAACUUUGUGGUCGCCGACUUUGAAGGGACGUACCAUGCCAUUCUAGGUCAUUCUUCACUCACCAAGUUUAUGGCAGUACCACAUUAUUCAUACCUAGUGCUCAAGAUGCCCACCGAGAAGGGUCCUCACAGUUAGGGGCAACGUCUACACAGCUUACACCUAUGAGGAAGGAAGCUUCAAGAUCACUAAGGCCAUUGACCUCUCAGUUUGGAUGGCAGAGACCGCAAAUCAAGCAACACAGACGCCCUCCAACCAGCUCAAGAUCUCCGAGCUAUAGGCCCCAAGGAAGAACGUCAAGUCCAAGGAGCACAAAGAAAUUCAACUAGUCGAUGACAAUCCCGAGAGGACAGCUCUUAUCGGAGCCACCAUGGAUCCUAAAUAGGAAGACGCACUCGUUAGGCUUUUGAGGGACAACGUAAGCUAUGGACAACGUAAUCUUCUGACGAUGCGAUAUUUAUGUGAAAAAAACUUCACGAGGUGAAAACUCAAACUUCAGAGGCGAAUUUCAGGAUUCUAAAAUUGUCAAACCCACUAAGGUCAAGAACAGACAGAUCUGAAAUUUUUUUCUGAUCGAUUUUGAUAUAUGCAACGUUGAAAUUUGAGUUCGUAUGCGAAAGUUAUGGUUGUUUUAUGAACGGACUCCGAAUUAGAGGACAAAAUGGUCCAGAAGUGGGAAAAAUUUGUGGCGGUGGCUAGAAAUUGAUGGAAACGGUGGGGAAAAACACAUGAACUGGACUCUAACAAGACCUAACCAGCAACAAGACCUCGACCAGGACAUAAACUCAACACUGCGGACUCUGAAACUGAAAUAUGCAAAGGCUAUGGCGCGGAAGGUUUGUAGGACAGGAAAAUGAUAUGGCACUAGACUUAUGGGACGAACACAAGAACACUCGAAACUAAGAGUAGAUGUGAACCUAACGGUAUACCUGAAGCUUUUAUUACCACUUGAUGAGAACAAGGGUGGCCCGAUCUUCUGAAAAGUUUUGGUAACUCUCGACUUGGUGGAGAUGAGACACAAAUCGAUCCGGCUUCCGAACAACACGAUCCGAAACCCUGUAAUUUUAUUUUAUUUUUUGAUAUUUUAUUUUACUUAGGAGCACUAAAGAACUAACCACAGAAAAUUUGAGCUUAAACAAGUGAAAGACGUGGCCUGUGGAAUUUUCUGAAGAUUGCGAAAAAUGUGAAAAAACAUCACAAGGUGAAAACUCAAACUUCGGAGGUGAAUUUGGAGAUUAUAAAAUUUUCAAACCCGCCAAUGACAGGUACAUACAGAUCCAAAAUUUCUUUUUGAUCGAUUUUGAUAUAUGGAAUGUUGAAAUCGGAGUUCGUAUGUGAAAGUUAUGGUUGUUUCACGAACGGACUCCAAAUUAGAGGACAAAAUGGUCCGAAAGUGGGAAAAUUUACGGCGGUGGCUAGAAAUGGAUGGAAACGGUUGGAAAAAAUACACGAACUGGACUCUAACAAGAUCUAACCAGCGACAAGACCUCAACUAGGACACAAACUCAACACCGCGGACUCUGAAACUGAAAUAUGCAAAGGCUAUGGCGCGGAAGGGUUGUAGGAUAGGAAAACAAUAUGGCACUAUACUUAUGGGAUAAACACAAGAACACUCGAAACUAAGAGUAGAUGUGAACCUAACGGUAUACCUGAAGCUUUGAUUACCACUUGAUGAGAACAAGGGUGGCCCGAUCUUCCGAAAUAUUCUAGUAACUCUCGAUUUGGUGGAGACGAGACACAAAUCGAUCCGGCUUGCGAACAACAUGAUCCGAAACCCUGCAAUUUUAUUUUAUUUUUUUGAUAUUUUUCUUUUACUUAGGAGCACUAAAUAAGUAACCAUAGAAAAUUUGAGCUUAAACAAGUGAAAUACGUGGCCUGCGGAAUUUUUUGAAGAUUGCAAAAAAUGUAAAAAAACAUCACGAGGUGAAAACUCAAACUUCGGAGGCAAAUUUAGAGAUUCUAAAAUUUUCAAACCUGCUAAUGGAAGGAACAGACAGAUCCAAACAAAUUUUCUGAUCGAUUUUGCUAUAUGGAACGUUGAAAUCGGAGUUCAUAUGCGAAAGUUAUGGUUGUUUUAAUAACGGACUCCGAAUUAGAGGACAAAACGGUCUGAAAGUCGGAAAAAAAUUCGGCAGUGGCUAGAAAUUGAUGGAAACUGUGGGGAAAAACACAUGAACUGGACUCUAGCAAGGCCUAACCAGCAACAAGACAUCGACUAGGACACAAACUCAACACUGCAGACUCUAAGACUGAAAUAUGCAAAGGCUAUGGCUUGAAAGGUUUGUAGGACAGGAAAACGAUAUGACACUGGACUUAUAGGACGAACACAAGAUCACUCAAAACUAAGGAUAGAUGUGAAUCUAAUGGUAUACCUAAAACUUUGAUUACCACUUGAUGAGAACAAGGGUGGCCUGAUCUUCCGAAAGGUUCUAGUAACUCUCGAUUUGGUGGAGACGAGACACAAAUCGAUUUGGCUUUCGAACAACACGAUCCGAAACCCUGCAUUUUUUUUAUUUUUUUUAUAUUUUUCUUUUACCUAGGAGCACUAAAAAGUAACCACAAAAAAUUUGUGCUUAAACAAGUGAAAGACGUGGCCUGCAGAAUUUUCUGAAGAUUGCGAAAAAUGUGAAAAAAACUUCAUGAGGAGAAAACUCAAACUUUGGAGGCAAAUUUCAAGAUAAAAUUAUCAAACCCGCUAAAGUCACAGACAGACAGAUCUGAAAUUUUUUUAUGAUCGAAUUUGAUAUAGGUAACGUUGAAAUCAGAGUUUGUAUGUGAAAGUUAUGGUUUGUUUACAAAUGCACUCCGAAAUACAGGAAAAAACGGUCCAGAAGUGGGAAAAAUUUGCGGCGCUGGCUAGAAAUUGAUGGAAACGGUGGGGAAAACACACGAACUGGACUCUAACAAGACCUAAUGAGCAACAAGACCUCGACUAGGACACAAACUCAACACUGCGGACUCUGAAACUGAAAUAUGCAAAGGUUAUGGCGCGGAAGGGAUGUAGGACAGGAAAACGAUAUGGCACUGGACUUAUGGGACGAACACAAGAACACUCAAAACUAAGGGUAGACGUGAACCUAACGGUAUACCUGAAGCUUUGAUUACCACUUGAUGAAAACAAGGGUGGCCCGAUCUUCCGAAAGGUUCUGGUAACUCUCGAUUUAGUGGAGACGAGACACAAAUCGAUCCGGCUUCGGAACAACACGAUCCGAAACCCUGCAAUUUUUUUUUAUUUUUUUGAUAUUUUAUUUUACUUAGGAGCACUAAAGAAGUAACCACAAAAAAUUUGAGCUUAAACAAGUGAAAGACAUGGCCUGCGGAAUUUUCUGAAGAUUGCGAAAAAUAUGAAAAAAACUUCACGAGGUUAAAACUCAAACUUCGGAGGCGAAUUUGGAGAUUCUAAAAUUUUCAAGCCCGCUAG